rnacentral:lncRNA from 1 species
UGCUCAUGUACUUGUUCUCCACCAAUUUAUGUUGUGGUUGCCGAAAUGGCUCAUAAUCAACGGAGUGAAAUGACUUGAAAACUGCAUCUACGGACUCGUUGAUUUCGGGCCAGUAGUAGGUCCAUGCCGCUAUUACUCCAUUAGGUUUUUUGAGUACCCAUUUUACUUGUUUGUAAAAUUGAGGCAAGUCAAACCAAUGUAGUGCUGUAGCAAUUGUCACUAGAUCUACACUUGAUUGUGUUGCCACAUUUUGUUCAAGCUCAGUUAUGGACAUGGUUGGAGGAGUAAGUUGAUACCGAAUGUUGGGGAGCUUUAUUGCGAAUUCUAGCUGCUUUGGGCUUGUGUCUGUAGCAAUGACAUUCUUGUAGAUUGGUGCAAGCUGAAGACAUAAUUGAGAAAAAAUAUAAAAUAUAGGAGGCUAUAACAAAAGUACACAAAAUUGAGAAGGCCAUAUAUAAAAAUUACAUAGACAUGGUGAAAUUUCAACCCAUACUCAGUUUUUGUGUUUUUUUUUUUUUCAUCCUCAAGGUUGCCGGGAUACUCUAGUUCCCCCCUCGGUAGUUAGAUAAGAUUUUUCUGUACUAGUCUCACGACUAAAUUUCCAGAUAAUGUGGAUAUUGAUUUGUAGAUAAUACAUACAUAAUUAAUCAAUGAAAAUAAUAGGGAUUUAACUAGGGAUUGGCAAUGGGAGGAGAUCGACAUUCCUGUAUCUAUUUCUGAUACUCUACUUGUAUCCUUCUACUCUCCCCGUCCUUUUUAAAAUUGCUUGAGGAUAGGGAUGGGGAUCCCCAAAAACACCCGAUCCCGAACAACUGAUUUUUGAACUUGAUUUAAUCAUAUUAAAGUAAAAAAAUAAAUCAUUUAACAACACAAACACAUCAAAACAAACUAAAAUCAUUAAAAUCAUUUUCAUCAAACUAAUUAAGUUAGUGUCAUCAAAAUUACAAGAUAAUCGAUGAAAUUAAGUAAAAAUAGAACUUCAGGGUUGAACACAUACAUAAAAGUUACAUGGUAUAAACCAUUAAGAAAAUUAUCUUCGUCAAUCUUCAAGUGUUCAUAUCUAUUAUGAUAUUUUUUUUAUUUAUAUCCAUACCAUCACAAUUUAAAUUUUAAAUAUAAUUACUAAAAAUUUUCACAGAAAUAAAAUAAAAUAAAAAAUGGGGAAACGAGAGAGAUGAGGAAUUCACUGAAUCCUCAUCUUCUCCCUGUAUAAGAUAUUGAGUGUUAAGUUAUCUCUGUUCGUUCCCCGAAUUUUAAUUAAGAUACAAAAUUGUUCCCACACCCUACACAAAUGGGAAAAAUCCUUCAAGAUUCGUCCCAUGAGAAUUUCUGCUAUCCCUGAAUUUAACAGUUAUAUAAUUCAACUUUCUUAUAGCUUGGGAUCAGAAUUCUGAAAUAUUAAUAUCGAACUUUUGUAUUAUUCAAAAAUUAAAUCUAAAGAUGUGAAAAGUAAACUUACGGAUGCAGCGGCCUGGCCGCUUCCGGUGCCGACGUCCCAUACAAGCUCGUGUUUGGGUGUUUUAGAGGCAAUGAAUUUGAACAAUUCUUCUGGAUAAUUUGGUCGUGCUUCCGCGUAUUGCUUUGCCUGCUUAACGAACAUAUCUGCCAUCUUUUCUGUUUUUUUCUAAAUAAGUGUUGACAAUAGAAUUGAGAUAAAUCUACUGAUCACUUGUUUCGUUUCUUCUUUAUAUAGGUUUUAGAAUUUGAUGUAGUAGACGAACAGACAAAUUUUAGUUAGAAAUUAAUUUGGUAUGGUUUAUCUGGGGAAGCCCAGAACGAGGACAAGCUCAUAAAGCGUUAAAUUUUGACCGAACUUUUCAUUCUUCCUUUAAUUUUCAAAGAUUCCCUUUUCUUCGCAAAGAUGAUGGUAUGGACUUCAUCAAUGAGCCCACAUCAACUCCACUUAGAGAAUUUUUUUGGGAUAAUUUUGUCAUUAAUUUAAGCUGUUAAAGGUAUCUAAAGAAGUAUUGAACUACUACUUUGCUCUCUUAUGGGGUUAAGAUGGCGGAGUUUAAAGGCAGAUUCACCUCAUGACCAUUAGGAGUUCAAGCUUCCAAUGGAGAAAAUAAUUUAAAAAAAAGUAAUGAGAUGAUUGUUUGAAUUAUUAAUUAGAACCAUUAAAUUUAUUAAAAUAAUCGUGUUAAAUUUAUAAAAAUAGGUCCACAAAUUCAUAAACCUAUAAAAUUUAAAUUUUGACUUUGAAACAUAUAAAAGCUCAUGCUUUAAUUAAAAAAAUAAAUGUUUACAGUAGUCAAAUUUAUUAUUAUUUAAUUUAGCCCUAUUAAAUUUACUAAAGUAACCUCUACAAACUCAUUAAUCUAUAAAAUUUUAGUAUUGAUUACAUUUUGUUAUUAUAUAAUUUAAUCCUCUGAAUUCGCUACCAUUUGGAAUUGGCUCUCUAUUAUUACUCGAUCUAGUCCAAGUUCAAUCAAAGUUGGCUCUCUAUUAUUACUUGUUCUAGUCCAAGUUCAAUCAAAGUUGGCUGUCUAUCAUUGACACUUCUCGUUCAGGUUCAAUGAAAGAGAUCAAAGCAGAGUUUGUUUGCGAUUCAGUUUGUGUAAAUGCAUGUAGGUCCAGGUUGUCUUAUUUUGUGGUCCACUGGUGUAAAGAAUUUAAAAAGUAAUUGGAUAAGAGGAUGCGUCUUGGAUGAUGAAAUGAAGCAAUAACACAUCUUCAUGUGCAGUUUUUACGACGUGCACUCGGUAUGAUUAUGAAUAAAAAAAUUAUUAUCCUGUGGUGUAUUUUUUAUCCUGUAAUUAAUUUUGUUUGUCUUUUAAUAUUGUGUGCUUUUAUAUUAUUUUUUGUACACGUGUCAUUCAUUGUUUCACUACUAUUACCAUGCUCCUAAAAACCUUACUUUUUUUUUUUUUCGGAAGAUGCCGCAUUUGCUUGAUUUCAACAUUGGCAUGCUCGUCCUUCUUACGCUUUUGUCUUUCUAUAAUCAUCAUAUUCAAUGGCAAAAUUUCAACAAGAUAGAGCAAACAUUCAACAAAGAUAAGUCUUCUUAUUGGAUUAGGCAUAGAUUUUUAAUUAAUUUGUUAUGGAAGUUGGUGGCUAUCCACUAUCAGCUUAGAUCAAUUUAACUAGCUAUACUUAAUUAGCUAAGUUAUUUGGGUGAGCAAAGUCUGUUAGUAGUAAAGCUCGGAAAAUCACCUAAGAAAAAUUGAAAAAGGACCAUCAAAUAUACACAGUUUGCUUUGAUUGGCCAUUCAACAAAGCAUCUGAAGAGAUUGGAUGGCUAAAGAGCUAAGGCUUGGCUUUGUUUUGAUUGGCUAAUGGAUCCUAUAAAUAGAGAGCACUGCUCUUCGUGAUUUGUAUCCUAAAUUGAAACCUCAUCAAUUACAAAAAUAUCACCUUCCUUUGUAUCAUCUAUAUAUUAAUUUAUACUUUCUACAUAUAUGUUGUCAAUGAUUAUAACACGUUAUUAGUUAGCACGACAAUCAUUUUGGUACAGGAAGUAUCUUAUCCCCUGCUCUUUUAUUUUAUCUAUUUAAUUAAUAAAGCUAUCUUUAUAAAUAUACUCUGAAGUUGUCAUUAAUUUGGAUCUUCCACAUAAAAAAAAUAUGACUAGCUAUUGUAUUUCUUCUUGUUUAUUUUAUUUUAUUUUUAUAAUAGAGGGGCUCUAGAACGAGCUAAGGUAAAACAUAUAGGGAGUAAAUAAUCCCAUACAAAUCAUUUGCAAUAAAACUAACAACCCCUGGAGGAGGAAUAGAAAAAAGAUGCAAUCCCAAGGGCAGCUCCAAGGCAUAAUUUGUUAGGAAGUCCGCUGCGAAAUUUGCUUCACGAUAUAUGUGGUUGAUGGUUAUAACCCAAUUUCGCUUGAUGAGAUCUCUAAUGGAGCGGAUGAGGUGGGUAUACUCGUUGAUGCUCUCCAUCUCUAAUGGAGCGGAUGAGGUGGGUAUACUCGUUGAUGCUCUCCCUGUGGCUGUUAACCAUCUGAACAACACAGUGGCUAUCCACUUCCACGUGUAAAAACCAAGCACCAUGUUGCCAUGUUAAAAUUAAUCCUUGGUAAAGGCCCCAAAGUUCUGCUGCAAUAACUGAACAGACGCCUAUGUUGAAGCCAAAGCCAGUGAGCCACAUGCCUUGGUGGUUGUGUAUGAGACCUCCAGCACUUGAUGCCCCCAACUCUUUUCUUGCUCUGUCUGUGUUUAGCUUGCACCAGGGCCAGUUAGGUAACUUCCAGGUGAUCAAUCUCUCAAUUUCUCUUGAUCUCAACAACCAAAGAUGAGUUGUUGAUGUUCUAAAUCUCCUCAACUCUAGCUUUAAUAUCUUGUAUUAUACUAAUACUGUCCAUUAUAAAUAAAGAUAAAACAAAACCUUUUUCAAGUCACGGUGUUGUGCAAAUUUUAUUGAACUCGCAAGUGCACGAAUCUAUUGUAGAAUAGACUAAUGGUGACGAGUGUCGAUCCCACGAGAAGGUGGAUUUUAAUUGUGUGUAGAAUUAAUUUUGUAAAUGGGUGGUUGGAUUUGUGGUGAAAAUGAUUUGGAUUAUCCUAAAAUUCGAAUUAAGAUGGCAAGAGUAAAUUGAAGUGAAAAUAUAUUAAAUUGACGUACUUGGGUAUCUGGAUCCGUAUCAACAUGCAUCAUGGGCUAAAUAUUCUUUAUUAAUACCAAUUAAAUCAUGAGGGGGGAAUCCACAUCUCAUGAACCACACUCUAAUCAAUAUGGUGCUAAGGGCUUAUCGUGCCAAAUAAUACUAACCUUGUAUUAGGAAGCCAGUGAAACCAAGGCGGUACUAAACAAGAUUAUUAUUAUUUGUCGACGAGAAGUCAAAACAUCCACAAACACUAGAGGGGAAUAGAAAAUAAAUUUACCAAAUAAAGCCCAUGACACAUGUUGAGACUUCACCUUCAACCCAAGCUUGAAAGAAAAUUAGUCACUCAUAAUUGAACUAGGGGAAAAAUGGGAAUUUAUUAAAAUACGUAGAAAAUACAAGAUAGAGAAGGAAUUAUAGAUCCCAAAAAUGGAUUCAGAGAUAUCAAAUUAGGGGGGGAGGCCCCCUUUUUAUAGAUACAUUGAGUAAAUCAUGGCCAUCGGAUUAAAAACAGUUUGGACGCUCAGGAUUGCGCCACGUCAUCAGUCAAUAGUACGCGGUUUGACCACGCGGGUGAACAGUAACACGGUUUGACCGACUUUGAACAGUAACGCGGUUUGGUUGAAAAUAAUCCUGUGUAAUGCAUGUACCGUACGCGCAAGUUUUGGUCCACUAAUAUGCUGCCACGUCACCAUCAACAGUUCAUAAGAAUUUUAGACCAACAGAAUCAUGACACCUCAUCAGUCAAUGCCAUGUCAUCAAUCCGUCUAUGUGAACAGUGUCGUGAACAGUAACGUAGACAGUACCGUACAUGUAAAUAGUACCGUACAUGUGAACAAUGCCAUUUUUCCUUUUAUGCUCCUCCUAAGGUUUUCGACCGUCCUGAGUUCAAAAGUGAUGUCCGUUUUGCCGUCUGAUCUCUCGUUUAUUGUGAAAUGACCAUGAUGCCCCUAAAAUACAUAAAAUACUUAAUUAAAAUAAAACACACGGAAUUAAAUCAAAAGAAGGUUACAUACAUAAAAGUAAGGGUGUUAGUAAAACUUGAAGUAUAAAAUGACGAUUUUCUCCUUUAUAAAUAUACAUUUUCUAACACUCAACACACGGGUUCUUUGUAUAUCAGCCUAUGUGGAUCCCACGAUUGAUAUUGGUUUCGUCUAAUUAGCUGGCGACGGUGACGAACUCAUUCUCUUUUUUUUAAUCAAACUUUCAAGCCCUAACUUUAUCCAAGUUCUUCACAAAAAUUUGAGGCUUAUUUCCAAGGGUAUUUUAGGUCAAGGAUGGUGGCUUUGAAGGUUUAUAGAAGCGGCUUGUGAGGUAGAUCAUUGUUAGAUAGAGAGAGAGGUAGAGACAAAGAGAGAGAGAGAGAGAGAGAGAGAGAGAGAAGAGAGCUUCAGUUCAGAGAAGAAAAUGGCCAUGGGGAUAGAUUUUUUGCUUAUCAAAAUUUUUAGAUUUUAGGUUUCCAUGUACACCUCAUUAAAACAGCAUAGUUUCUAGAUAAUUUAAUUUAAUUUUUAAUAAUUACUACAUCAAGCGAAAAUACAACUUGUGGUCUGGUUGUUUAACGUUUAAAAUUAAAAAGCUAAAGCUUAGAAGUCUACGGUUCGACUCCUAGCGUAUACAAAAUUAAAAUUUUAUUUUGUUAAUUACUGAUACCUUAAUGUCACAUAUCUUUGAUACUUAUCUAUUAAGUGCAGAAAAUGUCCCAAAUGCAUGUAAUUACUGAUACUUUUUAAUAAAGUGUCACAAGAUAAGUGUCAACAAAUACCAUUUUUCUUGAAGUGUUAAUUAAAAAAAUUCGAUUUUACCCUCAAUGAAUUACACAGUAAACAACAAUAAAUUAACGGAAGGGUGUUUUGAGCUUUUUUUUUUUUAAAGUAUGGAUGAAAUGAACUGUUGUUUGAAUAAUAAGGAUGAAUUAGGCUAUUGCAACAAAUUCAAGGGAUGAAAAAGGAUUUUUCUCUUUUACUUAGGUGCUGUUUAUUUUUUAGUUUGAAGUUUGAAUUUAAUUUUUUUUAGACAUUUGUUUAUUUUAGGUUUUUUUUUUAACUUAUCACUUAUUGUCAUAUAGUUUAUCUGAAUAGAAAAAGUAGAAAAAGUUCACUUUAUUUGAAGUCUGAAGUCUAAAUAUAUAUUUUUAAUUUCAAAUCUCAAAAAUACCCUUAACAAUUCAUGUAUUUCUAAUAUUAUGUAUAAACCUUAUAUUUUUGUAUUAUUCUUGAAGUUAUUUUUCUAAUUGCUUUAAAUUUUUAUUCACAUGAUAACAUUAACUAAACUGAAAUAUUGAACAAAUCAAAUUAUGUUAAUUGUGAUGAAUCAAAAAUAAAAUAAUAGUGUUGACUUUAUAAUAAACUUUAAUGUUAUAAUUACAUCUUUCAUUAAAAAAUUAAAAGAAGAUCAACAAUGAUAAUAUUUUUUUUAAUGUUACCAAACUAAUCAACCUGUGAAAAUUAUAACUGUGAAGAACAAAUAUAUGCACCACUUAAAAUGAUAUUUAUGCCAAAUUACUAGUUUUUAGGAUUUUCUCUUUAGAUGUUGAAAAAGAAAAACAAAGAUGUCAUUCAAAUAUUUUCAUUCAUAUUUAUUCAGAUUUUAGUUAAAUUCAGAUCUAUUCAGAUUUCAGAUUAAAAAAAAAAAUGCAAUCUUAGUUUAUAGGUACAGGACUCCACUCUAGCAUGGUUUUUAAUAUAAAAAGAGAGAGAGAGAGGAGAGAGAAAAUGGAUAAAAGAAAGAGUAAUGAUAAAAAUUAAAAUAAUGCUCGUGGGCAUUUUAGUCAAUUCAAGUUGAGAUGAAUGGAAAUCAAAAAAUAAAGAGGAAACCUAUUUGAAGUUUUAAACCGAUAAAAAAAAUAUUUUAUGUUGUAUUUCUCCCGAUACCCAUUAAUUAAAUUUUAAAUUUAUGAUUAUCCUUUAAACAUCCCUCUUAAUUUCAAAAAUAGCCCUUUAUUCUUUUCCACCAUAAUGGUGUUUUAAGCGAUACAUAAAAUGUUUUUCUACCAUAAUUUUGAAUUUCAAAAACUUGCUUUAGUGUUGGUUAAAAAUAAUUAUUUUUCAGGAUUAAUAAAAGUUUCUUAUCAUAAACUCAUUGUAAUUUUUUCUUAGUUGACGAAACUCUACAAAACUGAAUUUGUGUCCCUAGCAAUGCCACUUUGAAGCUUUUACAAAAUUAAUUGUGAUGUCACUGAUGUGUCUAUUAUUUUAAGCUACAAUCAAGGCAUAAAACCUUGUCAAUCUUGUAAUAUGCUGGUGUUGGGGAUUUGGCGAGGGUAUUGUAAUUAAAAACUUCAAUUACAUUAAAAGAUUUAGGAAUAAUGUUUUAAUUAUAGAUUCAUAGCGGAAAUCCUUUUUUGGGAUCCUUUUAUUAAGCUGUAGUCACAGUCAAAUAAUCAUUUGGCUUUAAGUUUUUGAUAUAUAUAUCUAUAUAUACAUGCACACAUAUACAUACAUACAUAUGUAUGUAUAUAUAUUCAACAGAGAAGAUUGAAACUAUAUGUAACACAUUAGACUGAACUUGCCCAUGAGCUAUCUGAUCUAAAAUUAUUGAUGAACUAGACAUAGGGGUUCACCUUGUAGGGAAAAUAGAAUCUAGAUCGUUUAAUGCUAUAUUUAAUAUUGGCGUAACAAUUGGACACUAUUAGAUUGCAUUAGAUAUAAGAUAUCCAACAAGCGAUAGCUGAGAAUGCAUAAGGGAUUCUACCCAGUGCUGUUGCAACAGUUUCUCAAUUAGAAAGACAGUAAACACCAUUAAGUCACAUUGCUUUUAUCCCUCUGUCUGACGUGAUAAUUUUCUUUACUACAUUUUUUAUUUAUUGUAUUUUUAUUUUAAUUAGUUUAUUAGUAUUAUUAGUCGAUUUAUUUCCAAUUAAAACAAAACUGCGUUGUUAAGAUUGUUAUAGCAAAUAUGAUAACAUAAAUCCCUAUGGAGACGAUCUGGAUACUCAUCAGUAUAUUACUUGUUGUGUACACUUGAACAUUGACAUCCAUAGCAUUAAAGAUUUUACACACCACAUAUUUACAAAUUAAAUAAGGCUUUGUACAGUUUAAAAUAAGCACUUAGAGCUUAGCUUGUUAGAUUCAAGUAUGUAAGGCUUUCUCAGUGGCAUUUUCAGCACUCCAAGUCUGAUAACUCUCUUUUCCUCAAAUGGGAUAGAGGUCUUUUGGUUCUAGUUUUGGCAUAUGUUUAAGACAUGAUCAUCACUAGCUCCAGCUCUUUUAUAGUUCAACAGGUUAUUCAAGAAAUGCGUUACACAUUUGCUUUAAAAGACUUGGCAAAGCUCCAUUAUUUUCUAGGCAUUGAAGUCAUAAAGACUCAAAAUAUAGUUCAUUUAUCUCAAGCCAAAUAUAUUGUCGACAUUUUAGCAAAACAUGGACAUGGCUAGUUGUAGUCCAGUGCCUAUACCUAUGUGAACUGGUCAUAUCUUAAAGACUUAGGUGAUGAAAUUGAUAAUGCAUCUUAGUGUAAAAGUGUUAUUAGAGCUUUGUAAUAUGCCACUCUCACAACGCGAGAGCUAGCCUUCUCAAUUAACAAAUUAAGCCUAUUUUUCUUACGUCCAAGGACUCAUCAUUAGGAAGCAUGAAUACGACUCUUGAUAUACUUGAAGGGUACUUUACAUUUUGGAUUGCAUUUCUAUAGUUGUCGUGCUAUGCAGUUAAACUAUUUUGUAUAAUAUUAUUGGGCUUGUGAUAGAGACGAUAAGGAUUUGCAAUAUAUCCAGGUCCCAACUUGGUUUUAUAGUUAUCUAAGAACCAAUCAGUGGUCUUUCGAUCAAGCACAAAGGCUGAGUAUAUAGCUUUAACUCAUUCAACUUAGCACCAUGCCUAUAAUCUGGUGUGCCAAUCAAGAAGCAACUACUUUGGCGUAUAACCCCAUUUAUCAUGCUAAAACCAAACACAUUGAGCUGGACAUACAUUUCAUUAGAGACAAAGUUGUAGCCAAGCAAAUUCAAGUUUGUUUUAUACUAAGUGCAGACCAAACAACUAAUUUGUUAACCAAAGCACAUACUUUUAAACGGCUCUAUUACUUGCGUAGCAAGUUGAAUGUUCAUUCUAGACAUUUUAACUUGAGGGAGGUUGCAAGUGAAUCAGAUGUUACUUGAAUGCAGAGCAUAUGGUGCAGCCAAUAGCAGCAGAUCAACUACUAAGCUAAUGUAGCAGAAUUAGCUAUUUGGUUUAACUUGUAUUAAGCAAAGCUCACGUGAGCAUAACAGAAUAAAAAGCAUUUAUAACGGAAUUAGAAGCAUGUAGAAUUCAGCACUAUAAAUAUGUAACGUGCUUUCAUUUCAAUUAAUUAAUUAGAAUCUUCUACAAGUUUCUUCAAAAUAUUCUCUCUCGUUUUCUAGUAUUUCUUGCUACUUUCUUACUUGCCAAACAUCUUCCAAUAUUCUAAUAUUGUACAAGUCAAAAUGUCAAACCAGUGCAUGGCUUGAGCAUUAAUUGUUGACACGACUCAAAAGUAUAUUACUCCCAAGUAUAAGAUUAUCUAGUUAUAAUAUAACCCGGUAAAUCCGGGAUCGAAUCACAGAGAAUUUAAAAUCUAGUUGUCAAUUUAUUGGACAAAGAAAAUUAAUUGCGGUAAAAGAAAUCACUAGAAAAAAAAUUAAAAAUAUGCUAAGGUUUCGAGAUCCACUCUUAAUAUUCAAACUAUAAUUUUAAUACUUUCUCAUUUAUAUUUUUUUCUCACUUUUACCAGUUAAUUAUUAUAUCAUUUAAUUCUAUGUGUGUGGAUAAAUAUGGAAUAAAGUACCUAAUGUGCCACAACUGUAUUAAUGUAUCGACAUUAUGUCAAAAUACCAUAUAGAUCCAAAAGAAUGUAUAAAUUAACAUGACAUAAAAAUAACCAGAAAAUAAUAAAAUAAACUUAAAAACUCACUUUGAGAAAAUAAUAAAUUUAAUAGUUUGAAACUUUAAGCUUUACCCUUCACCUUAGCUUAGUAAAAUUAGCCACUCAUAUUGAAAGAAAACACAACAUUCUUUUUAUUUGAUAAACUUUUGAAAUAUGUUAUAAAGAAAAUUGAUACAAAUGGAAACAAGAAAAGAAAAGUAAGAAAGAAAGAAAUUCUUCAGCUGCACCCUUGGCUACCACUCUCUCUCUCAGCUCUUGGCUCAACUCCCCCCUAAAUUGCUUGCAUCCCCUUGCCUUUUAUAGGUAAGGGAAGCAUCUUCUUUUCUUUUCUUUUAUUAAUAUUAAUAUUUUAUUUUAUUUUUAUAUUAUAUAUACAUAUUGAAAGGGGUGAUGGCCAGGAGGCGUGAUGGCCUCUUGACCAUCACAAGCAACCAAAUCAUAGCUGCCUUUUGUUCUUUUGUUCUUUUUUUUAUUUUAUUUAUUACAUCUCCUUAAUGAUGCAUUCUAAAUUGCUCCAACAGUCCUUCUUUGUUCCCGCUUUCGAUUCCAAUUCCAUCUUUAUUCCUGAAAAAUAUUUACAAGAUAAAAAUUAACAUAUUACGAAUUAAUUUUACAUAAAAAUAUAUUUGGGGAGUAUUAAGAUAAUUUAUAAGUAAUGAACACAUUAAUCGACAUAAUAAGUGAAAAACUAAUAAUUUUAUCGUUAUUAAAUGUACACUUUUUAAUGCCAAUCAAUUGUCGCUUAGAUCAAAGGUUGAUUGUGCCGCCAUGUUUUAUUCAAGCUUAAAAAUGGACAUAGGACAUUGCUGGUGUAGUGAACUGUAUCGAUUGUUGGUGGCUUUGUCGCAAAUUCUAAUUGUUUUGGGCUUGUAUUCGUGCCUGUGGCAUUUUUUAAGAUCCUAGGUCUGAAAAUUUAUGGAACGACUUAAAAACAUUUGAUUUACUCUCAAGUGUAAGAGUACCUAGUUAUAAUAUAUCUCGGUGAGUCCGAGGUCGAUCCACAGAGAAAAGAUUUAAUUAAUUUAUUUUAUUUUAUCUAAAAUUUGAAAAUAAAACUUAAAUACAAACAACUUAAUUUAAAUAAAACUAUGAAAUUGAAUUAGUUAGGGUUGUGGAUUCACUCUUAGUUGUAAAUAAAACUUAAUAAAUUCUUUUUGCCAUUUUUUUAGAUUUAUUGCCCAAAAGAUUCAUUAUAUAAAUUAUUAUUAUUUUCCCUUUAAUUUUAUAAUGGAUUAAGUAUUCAUUGUGCCAAAAUUUAAUUUGUCUACAAUAAGUCAAAAUACCAUUUUACCAUACCUUAUAUUAAGAUAAAAAGAAUUUAUUGUGCCAAACUCCCUUGUUUGUCUACAAUAAAUCAAAAUUUCAUAAUAUAAAAUGCGUAUAAAAUUAAAUAGAAAAUAACUUAAUUUAUAAAAUUAAAAAUAGAAUUUGAUUAAAUCAUAUUUAUUUCCUAAGAGUUCACCUUCCCCUAACUAUUAAUAUUUAGCUAAACAUUUUUUUAAUAAAGGAAAUUACUAAAAUUGAAAAACACAUAAUUAAAAAUGGAAUUUGAAAAUUGAAAUAAAACUAAUUUUAUUGAUUGAAAAUAAAUUACAAAGAGAGAUGAAAAGAAGAAUUUGGGGGGAAAGAAGAGAAGAGAAGGUGUGGAGAGGUGUGUUCACCCCCCCUCUAUUUAUACUAAUACAUGGUAAAUUCUCACCACACAAAUAAAAAAUCUAAUUACAUCUUAACCUUACAUUUGUCCCACUAAUAAUCCCACUAAUGAAACAUAAACCUAACUUAUCCACUCAAGCAUAUCCAAUACAUUCCACUAACAAUUACCAUACCUAACAUGAUAAAAACUUAUAAUUUUAUAAUUGCCACAUUUACCGUGGUAAAAACGUAAAAAUUUACAACAAAAGUCUUGGAUCCUCCUCGACAAUGACAUAAUUUCUCGGACUUCCGGAAUCCAAAUUUAACAUCCAUACAUUUGAUCGGAGCCUCAAAUUGCAUGAAAUUAUUAUUUUUACCUAAUAAACAUAAAAUACAUAAAAUCAAAUAUUUAGAAAAAUAAUUAGAAAUUCACAAUAUGUUACACAAUUACAAAUAUAAAUUACAUUAAUAAAAAAAUAUAACAUUUUAACCCUUAAUAAACAUGCAAUUUUUAACACUAAUCACACCCCCCAACUAGCUUAUUGCUAGCCCCUAGCAAUUAAAGCGUUAUAUUAAAUUAAGAUUUACAAAAUUCACAUGCAAGUUAAUAGUUGUUCAUCUAUCCUCUAAAUUACCAAAUAAAUAAACUCUCCCAAUUUUUUUUUUAAAUCUUGGUCGUCCACUCAUUAUCCAAAAUAUCAUAAACCUUAUUUUCUGCUCAAGUAAUUAACACAAUACUUAUGGGGUUUCAUUAAAAGAAAACAAUAUUUUCGUUUUAAAACUCAUUAGAAAUUCUAUCUUCAGGCAGUAGAUUAUUCAAGCUUUUUUUUUUAAAUUGCAUUUUUAACCCAUGUAGCGAGCUUUAGGUCAGUGUCUCCCAGACCAGUUGACCUUAGGACAAUCCAUAACUAGGCCACCUUUCUUUGACUUUAAUGACUACCCAUAUUGAAAAACUAGGAGAAUUUAUUUGUAAGCUUUAGGUUAUAAAAUUUGGCAAGUUGUUUGUGAUGGUUCAUUCAUGCCUAUGACUAAAAAUAAAGUAGGAGAUGAUAUUCAAAAACCUUCAAGUCAAUGAAGUGAGUUAGAAAAGAAAAAGAUAUCUUUAAACUCUAAGGCAGUGAAUGCUUUGUUUUAUACUCUUGAUAAGAAAGAUUUUCUUAGAGUGUCUAGUUGUAAGAGUGCUCAAGAAAUAUGAAACAAACUUGAAGUUGUCUAUUAAGGGACAAAUCAAGUUAAAGAGUCUAAGAUUAGUAAAUAUACUCGACAAUAUGAAUUUUUCUAAAUGGAACAAAAUGAGAGCGUGUAUUCUAUUUAUACUAGGUUUACAUAUAUUGUGAACACAUUAGAAGCCCUAGGAAAAAUAUUUUCGAAUAGCAAAAAAGUUAAGAAAAUUAUUAGGUCUUUACCAAUAGAAUGGAGACCUAAGAGAACUGCCAUAGAGGAAGCUAAAGAUUUAAAUACUUUGCAUAUUGAUGAUUUAAUUGGUUUUCCUAUUUCAUAUGAGGAAGAUUUGACAGCAGAAAAAGACAAUAAGGAAAAAAAAAAAAAAGAAAAGCAUUGCACUUAAAGCAUCAAAGCAUGCGAGUGAUGAGGAAAGCGAGCUUGAUGAUGAAGAUAUGGCUAUAUUGUCCAAGAGGUUUAAAAAAUUCUUCAAGAAAGCCGGUGAGCGGAAAAGAUUCAGAAACUACAAGAACCAAAAGGAGAAGAAGGAGCUAAUUACUUGUUAUGAGUGCAAGAAUCAUGGACACAUACGAUCGGAAUGUCCUCUUCUCGAAAAGCUUAAGAAGAAGGCAAUAGUAGCCAUAUGGGAUGUUAGUGAUAAGGAAACAAGUGAUGAUAAAGAGCAACAAGAGAUGUAAAAUCUAGCUCUCAUGGAAUUGGGAUGAAUCGUUUGACGAACUUGAUGAAGUAAGUGAUCUACCUAUGAUUAAUUAUAUAAUGCUUUUAAGGAAUUGCAUGAUGUAUGCCUUAAAAGGAAAAUGCUAGAACUUUCAAAUGAAAAUGAUGUCUUGUAAAAUGCAAUGAUUCAUUGAAUAAAAAGAUCAAGGGAUUGGAAUUAGAUAAUGAAAUGUUGUAUGAUAUGAUUACAUCAUUUAAAUAUAAAUAAAGUACUUCAUAUGAGCAUGAAAAAUCACAUGUUGAUAAAUUGAUAAAAGAAAAUGAAGUGCUUAAGAAAAAGAGUAAUGAACUCAACAAAAUUUUGUUAAAAUUCACAAGUGGUCAAAAGAAUUUAGAAAAAUUGCUGAACUCUAAAAAAUGUGUAUUUGAUAAAGGAGGACUUGGGUAUAAGCCUAGCUUGACUUGAAGCAAAAGUAUUUUAGGAAUUACUUUGUUAAAGCUACCUCCACUAGUGAUCAUAAAAUUAAUUGUCAUUAUUGCAAUCAAAAUGGUCAUAUGAAAUAUAGAUGUCUAAUGAAAAGAAAUGCAUUCAAUGGAGUCAAAUGUGUAGCUCCAAAAGGAACUAUUGCUAACACUCAAGGACCCAAAGAAAUUUGGGUACCUAAGACUUGAAAUUUCCUCUGCAUGGUUUGAAGAAGAAAAAGAAUAAACGGCACCUGGACAGUGGUUGCUCAAGGCAUAUGACUAAAAUUAUUCUUGGUUUUCAAGUUUUACCAAGAUUGAAAACAGUAGAGAUGUGUCAUUUGGAGAUAAUUCAAAAGGAAAGAUUAUCAGUAUCGGUAAUAUUAGUAAAAAAUCCUCUACUCUUAUUGAAAAUGUGUGUUUGGUUGAAAACUUGAAAUACAACUUACUUAGCAUUAGUCAAUUGUGUGAUAAAGACUAUAGAGUUAUCUUUGAUAAAUCGAAAUGUGUUAUUGAGAAUGCAUAUGAUGGCAAGAUUUUGUUUGUAGAAAAUAGAUGUGUUAAUGUUUAUAUCAUUAAUAUAGAUUGUGUAUCUACUUAUGAUAAAUGUUUCUCUACAUUACAUGAUUAUAGUUGGUUAUGGUAUAGAAGACUAGGUCAUGCAAGUAUGGAUUUGAUUUCAAAGAUUUCAAAAAAUGAUUUGGUUAAUGGCCUUCCAAAAAUUAGUUUUCAAAAAGAUAGAAUUUGUGAAGUUUGCCAAUUUGAAAAAUAAAUCAAAACUUCUUUAAAAAAAAGAACCAUGUCUCAACUUCAAAACCACUUCAACUACUUCACAUGGAUUUGUUUGGACCUUCUAGAUAUGUAGUUUAAGUGGCAAAUAUAUGCAUUUGUGAUUGUGAAUGAUUAUUCUAGAUACACAUGAGUAUUGUUCUUUGAUAAUAAGAAUGAUGCCUUGGAUGCAUUUAGAAUUUUCUACAAAAAGGUUCAAAAUGAAAAGGGAUGUGCUAUUUCUUGUAUUAGAAGUGAUCAUGUGGAGAAUUUGAAAAUCAUGUAUUUGAGAAUUUUCUAUAAAAAGGUCAACACUGCUUGUUAUGUUUUAAAUCAUAUGUUUAUUAGACCUUAUCUCAAUAAGACUCCCUAUGAGCUUUGGAAAGAUAAAAAACUCAACAUUGGUUAUUUCAAAAUUUUUGGAUGCAAAUGUUUUAUUUUGUAAACAAAAGAUAAUCUUGGCAAAUUUGAUCUAAAAUCUUAUAUUGAUAUUUUUCUUGGUUAUUCAAAUACAAGCAAAACUUAUAGAGUGUAUAAUAAAAGAACUUUGGUUGUGGAAGAAUCUAUGCAUGCUAUAUUUGAUGAGUCUAAUCCUUCCUCUACGGAGAGAGUUGUUGUCGAUAAUAAUAUAGAUGAACAGUCACAACAAGGAUUAUCAAAAGAUAAACAAGAUGAUGCAUCACAUGAAAAUAAAGAGGAUAGACAAUGAGAAUAAAUAAAUGAGGAGCAACAAGAAGGUACAUCUCAAACACUCCCCAAGGAGUGGAGGUAUGUUUCCCCUCAUCCGAAGGAUUUAAUUGUAGGUGAUCCUUCAAGAGAUGUUACCACUAGAUUAUCAUUUAGAAAUACUUGUGAGCACGCUGCAUUCAUAUCUCAAAUUGAACCAAAUUCUUUGCAGAUGCGAAAAAUGAUGAAUCUUGGAUCAUGGCAAUACAAGAGGAGUUGAAUCAAUUUGAGAGAAACAAUGUGUGGAAAUUAGUUUCUAAAUCGGAACAUCAAUCUAUUAGGCACUAAAUGGGUAUUGAGAAAUAAAAUGAAUAAAUCCAGUGUGGUUGUAAGGAAUAAAGAUAGAUUAGUGGCUCAAAGAUACAACCAAGAAGAAGGAAUUGAUUUUGAUGAAACAUUUGCGCCUGUAGCUAGAUUAGAAUCCAUUAGGAUGUUGUUAGCAUUUGCAUGUCAUAAAUAUUUAAUUUUUAAUCAAAUAGAUGUCAAAAAUACUUUCUUAAAUGGUUAUAUUAUGGAGGAACUUUAUAAGUUUUCUAAAGCACUGUAUGGAUUUAAAACAAGCACCUAGAGCAUCGUAUGACAAGCUUAAAAAUUUCUUGCUGGAUAAUGAGUUUUCAAUGGGAAAAAUGGAUACUACUCUCUUUGUUAAGCAUAAGAACCAAGAUAUACUUGUUGUUCAAAUUUAUGUUGAUGAUAUUAUCUUUGGUUCUACUAAUGAGUUUUUGUGCAAGGAGUUUUCAUCUUGUAUGAUGAGAGAAUUAAAGUAUUUCCUUGGACUUCAAAUCAAACAAAACAAUGAGGGAAUCUUCAUCAACCAAGCUAAAUAUGUCAAAGAUCUACUCAAAAGAUUUGACAUUGAUGACUCAAAUCCAAGAGACCUCCAAUGAGCACAACAAUCAAGCUUGACAAAGAUGAAAAAGAUAAUAAGAUUGAUAUAAAAAUGUAUCGAUGUAUAAUCAGCUCUUUACUUUACUUAGCCGCAAGUAGACCUGAUAUCAUGUUUAGCGUAUGUUUGUGUGCAAGAUUUCAAUCAUGUCCCAAGGAAUCUCAUUUGCUUGCUGUGAAAAGAAUUUUUCGUUAUUUGAAUAGAACUAUAGAUCUUGGCCUUUGUUAUCCUAGAGGAACCUAUAUAGAUUUAACUUAUUAUUCGGAUGUCAAUUUUGCUGGUUAUAAAAUCGAUAGGAAAAGCAUUAGUGGAACAUGUCAUUUCUUAGGUCAUUCUCUUAUUUCAUGGUUUAGUAAGAAACAAAAUUCGAUUUCACUCUCAACCACCGAGGCAGAAUAUAUUGCCGUAGGUAGUUGUUGUCCACAAACUCUUUGGAUGAAACAAACACUUAGAGAUUAUGAAUCUUGAACAAAUUCUUAUCAUGUAUAAUAAUAUUAGUGCUAUAAAUCUAUCAAAGAAUCCCAUUUAGCACUCUAGAACCAAGUAUAUAGAGAUUAGACAUCAUUUCUUGAGAGAUUAUGUUCAAAAGGGCAACAUUGCAUUAGAAUUUAUCUAUACAGGAAAAAAAAACUUGCCUAUAUUUUUACAAAACCUCUUUGCGAAAAAUAAUUUUCAAAAAUUUGGCAUAAACUUGGGAUAAUGAAAUUUUCGCAUUAACAUCUCUAAUCAUGUUAUUGAAUCUAUUAAAAUUGAUUGAUUGAUGAUUUGCUUAUGAUUACAAAGUUUUUAAGCAUGAUAAAUGAGUGAUGUAUUUGAAUCAAUAAUCUUUGAAUGCUUACAUGUCUCAUGAUUGUGUGAUGUAUAUGUAUGAUAAAUGUGUUAUAUAUUUAAAUUUAUAAUCUUUGAAUAUUUAUAAUUAUGAUUCAUGCAUUAAAAUGGCUUUUGAAAGUGUUCGGGAUCACGAAAUGGUUUUGGAAUCGAUCAAAAUUAGCCGGAAAGCAAACAUUUGUGCAAAAGGGCAGCAAAGAGACAGUUACCCGCUUGCCCCAAACCCGAGAGUAAGCGGCUAGCCAUUUGCCUCUAAGCGACUAGCCGCUUGGUCACGGUUUUUAUACAUUUCUUCCCCCUUUCUCUUGCUUUCUUCAACCUUUCUCUACUCUCUUUCAUGGCCGUUCAUCUUUCCUCCAUUUCCUCUUAAAUUAUUUUCAUUUCUCAGUCAUUUUCAUGCCAAAAUCAAUCUUUUAAACCAUUACCCAUGCAUUUAACCUUCAUUAAACACUUCCCAAUCAUCAUUUCAUCACUUGUUUCUCCAAAUCUAAAAAUCAAAACCUAAGCUUACCUAUAUCUCUCUCUUAUAUUUUAGGCUCUUUUUAGCUCAUUUUUUUUAUCCAAUUAAUACCAUACAUUGCCUUAAAUCAUCUCUAGGAUCAAUUUUAUUGAUUCAAAUACAUUCAUUUCACUCAAAAUCUUGAAAAUUCGAAUUUAGGUAUUAAAGCUUGUUCUUGUUUUCAACAAUAGUUAGUAGCCAAAAAUCCAAGGGAAAACAUAUAGCCAAGAAGCGCAAGGAAGAUCAUGGAGACAAUCUAGAGUUCAUAUUAACACAUUUUCUGCAACCACCUUUUCAGAAAUGUUUUCACGAUAAAUUUAUGUCGAGGUUGGUUAUUGCCCCCUAUUUUGUCAAUCUUCUUCAUUCGGAGAAUUUAGCAAUUUUUGAUAAAUCUCUUAGUGAUUUUCUUAUUGACAUGGGUUAGAAAAAUGUUUUAGUUUUCAAGGAACGAUGUUAUGAAAUUUAGUUAAAGUUUUUUAUUCGAAUAUGGUUAUUUCUUUGCAAACUACAAAUAGAAUUGUUACAAGUGUUGGGGGAAUACAUAUUGAGUUUGAUGUUGUGGAUUUAAAUCAUAUUCUUAGAACUCCAAAUGAAAGGUUGGAACAUUAUACUGCUAAAAGGAAAAUAGAUUAUUCGUGGUAUUCAGUUGAGGAUAUUGUUCGAAAAAUUUGUAGAUGUUUCGAUUUGUCCUUUAAGUUUUGUAAAUCUACCUUGAAAUCUCAAGCCUUACCCCUUCAACUUAGGAUCCUUCAUUAUGUUCUUUAACAUGUCAUUAGUCUUAGGCCUGGACAUGGGGAUGAAGUUACUCGAUUAGAUGUGGCCUUAUUGGAUAGCAUUCUAAAGGGUAGGGUGCUAAAUGUCAGUUAUAUUAUUCUUCAUCAUAUACUUAGCACUCCAUGUAUAGCAAAACGAUCCCUUCCUCAUGGAAGCAUUUUUACCCACAUUCUCAAACAAUUUUGGGUACCCAUAAUCGAACCAACAUUUUUGAAUCCUAAGGAAUUAGGAGAUGAAGCUAUAGCCAAUUUAGGGUUUAUAUGGACGGAAGAUAAAUGGUGUAAAAACCAGAGAUACAAAAACAAGGGUACUACAUUAGCUCCUAUAGAUCAUCGUUUCUUUAACGAUGUUCUUCCACCAAACCAGCUCCUUGAUCUCAAUGCUCCACAGCGCUCACAUCCUUCGUCUUCUGAGGGUCCUUCCUAUUCUACUUCAGCAGACCUUGAGGAUCCAAUACAGUAGCUAUUAACUGAAGUGCAUUCUCUUUUUGAGCCGCAGAACCAAUUUCAGUCCCAGUUUGAGGCCUUUCAAAUUCAGUCCACUUUGAAGCAACAACGCCUGUUUAAGCAGUAACAAUGUUUAUUUAAUCAACGACAUCGACUCUUUGCUCAACAACAGUAGCUUUUUGAUGGUCAACAACAACUUUUCGCUGCUCUUGGGUUUCCACCGCCAUCCUCAUUAUCACAUUCACCAUCUUCAUAGUGUUCUAUUCUUUUUCAUCUUGAUUUUAGUUCUUUGUUUUAUUCUGCACUACAUUUUCAUAUGCAUUGUUGUUUUACUUAUGGAUUAAGGAUGAUUGUUGUUUGAUAUUUAAAUGUUUUACAUUUGGAUGAUAUUUUAUGGAUUCUUGGAUAACUCUUUGGUUACUUGCAUGCUUGAUUUUUAUAUGUUUCUUGAUUAUCUAUUGAGAUGUUAUUUUUGGUCUGAGCAUGGAGUUAUAGUAAUUGUGAUGAUGAAGAGGGAGAAGUCAUGUAUUUUGACCUUGAAAUAUUGAUGCAUGAUUUUGAAAUAUUUAGAGGGACCAUACAUUUGUUAAAGAUCAUGUAUUCAGGGAGAGUUCAUAGUUCAUUUAUAUGUUGAAUUAUGUAUGCCAUAUAUUAAGGGGGAGUAUAAAUGUCAAAAUACAUGAAAUGUUUGUCAUCAUCAAAAAAGAAAAGAUUGUUAGCCUAAAGGGUUACAUAUAUUGUAAUUUUGAUGAUAAAAAACAUGUCUUAAGUAAUAUGAUAAAUAUUGUAUUUCACAUUUUCACUAGUUCUUGAAGGAUAAUAUUUAGGCAAGUGAAUCACGUGAAAUCAGGCUCAAGGCACUCAACGUACAAUAGCUCGAUCAAGAACAAAAUUUAGUUCAACGAAGUCAUUAUUGCGACAAAUUAUUGUAAAGCUGAUAUGAUUUAAUGUAUGCAGGGUUUAGCAUUUAAAAAGCUCGAGAAGUUGUGGGUAAAAAUAUAAUUUUUAAUAUAAUAUUAUUGUAGAAAAAUUCAAAUUGCAACGGUAACUUGCACUGUAUUAAGUGGUGAGCCGGCUAGUUAAGAGGCUAAUCGCUUGCUUGCGGGUUUUGUCCAUAAUGGCUAGUUUUUGUAUCAAAACUAUAUAAAAUCAAAUCCAGUUCAUUUUUAAAGACUUUUGCAAGUAUAAACAAGUGUAAACAAUAUAUUUUAAGCUUCUAAUUCGCAAAUCAUCAUAGAUUAAAUAUUCAUUGAGUUAUUAUUAAGAGGUUAAUAUCGUAGAGGUUACCGGGCAAAGCCAAAUUGAACUUGGAGAAUCUUAGUAAGUGUUCAAUUUUGACCAGAAUUUUUCAUUUUCAACCUUUAAUUUUCAAAGAUUAACCAUUAUGGACUUGCUUUUUUUUGUUUGUGCUUCAAUAAGCUAGUCUUCUUUCACAUUGCUUAAUUACAAAAUUUUACUACUAAUACAUCAAUUUAUUAAUUUUUUAUUAUUUUACUUUAUAUUUACAAGUCUUAUACUCCAUUUCUAAAUUUUAUAUUUUAUUUUACAAAUAACGUUGAUUUAUAAAUUUUAUAUUAAAUUCACAAAUUUUCUGUUUGAUUUACAUAAUCUAAGUUUAAUCACAAUAUUGAUACCAUGGUUUUAGUCACUACUUUAAUUAACAACUAGAUACGGAAAAAAAUAUAUAUUUUAACUAACUCAUUACAUGAAGCUUUUAAUAUAUUAUAUUCUAAAAUAAUUAAAAUAUAUAAGACAAAAAUCCUGACAUUCUUGCUGUUUUUGGAACGUUAUAGUGGCAACUUUUUAUUUUAUUAUUAUAUAAGAGUGAAAAUCAAAUCUCUUCCCUAUCACUAAGUAGUAUACUUCCCAAAAAAAAAAAAAAAAGAAUUUGACUGUCAUUUAAUUACAUUAAAAAAAAUGUCAUAGAAAGUGUUGUGUCACUUUUAAUCAGAGGAUGGGAGUGCAUUACGACUAUUGUAUAUAUGUUAUGUUUUCAUGAUGAUGUUGUUUAAAUAUUUAGUGCUUAUUUGGUAUGACUUAUUUAAUAACUAUAAGUGUUUAUUUAAUCUCAUAAGUUCCUAUCAUAAUUUUUGUUAUUGUUUGGUUGUUUUUCUAAUAGAGUUUUUAAAACUUAAAUAAGUUAUUUUAUCUCUACUAGUAAAAGCUCCAAUUUUGAGCUUUUGAGAGUAGAGGCUGAGAAGUUUUUUUUUUUAAAUGUCAAAAUAUCUAAAAUAUCCUCUACUUAUUUAAUAAUUGUAUUUAUUAUUUUCAUAAUAUAACUUUAAAAAACUUGCCUAUUAUAAUAAUUUCAUAAAUUUUUAAUAAAUAUUUUUAUUGACAACCAAACAACUAAAUAUUUUUUAGUAAAAACUCUAUUUACAAAAGCUCUAUUUAAAUAAGCUCUACUUUAAAAGCUGUACUAAACAGAGCCUUAGACCGAUACCUAAUAAUAACACAGAGCAGCUCGAGCCUAGCUCACCCAACUAAUGAAAAAGAAAAUGAUUUAGCCUCCUGCUAUUAGAUAGGUGUAAUGCAUGCAAGUAAUACACACAUUUAUUCAAAAGAAAAUACAUUUAUUUAUUCAAAAGGAAAUACAUUUGUAUGACAGAUGUAUAAGUAAUGCAGUGCCAAAAGUCUUCACUUAAAAGUUGAAGGCAUAUCAUCAAAACAUGUGACCCCUAGGGAUAGAAACUUGAACAUUCACAAUGAUCAAUGCAACUUGUCCUUCAUUGUUCCAGAAGAUAGCUAGGCACAUUAAUCCUCCAACAUUUCUCAAUGGAUUUCAAAAUCAUCGACAAUAUAUAGCUUUAUGGUUCUCUUUUUUUUAUUCACAAUUUUUUUAUUCUAAUAUUGAAAUUAAUUGGUAACUGCACAGAACUGACAAUUUCUUGGCACUCAUUUUGUAGGGAAUUGAGAUUGUAACUUACAAAUUUAAUAGCAUUUUGAAGCCAAGGAAAUCUAGUCUCAAUUAAUAUGACUCUAGCUUCAGGAGAUUAUGUCUCUAGACAAAUACCGAUGAUCAUGAAGUGACGGAUGAAUUCUAGUGAUAUAUUCCUUAAAUCGCUUAUAUAUUAUGAUUUUUUUCAGAUCUAAUGACCCAGUAAUUAUUUUUGAGCACAUAUAACACCUAGAUCAUUAAUAAUGGUGAUCAGCAUUGUUUUAAGAUUUAGAGCAAAUUAUGUGAUAGCCUAGGGACACUUGGCCGAAUGUUACCUACAGUUAAAACAAGAUGUUUGUUAAAAUAUCUCAAUGAAGAGUAAGAUGGCGGGAAAGCUGUAGUUCAAUAUGCAGAGAUCUUUUGGCAUUUGGAAACAAUAAUCUUGAAGGUUCUAGAUCCUCACAACGAUGAAAAGGCCAGAAAUUGAUCAACAAAAUGAAGGGUGCAUAAUAUGCAGCAAGUGAAGACAACAGUACACAACGGUCUUAUCAUCAUUGUGCAUAUUCAUCAAUUAGUCUCAGUCAUAAAUCAACAAUUGUAACAGUUGUAAGUAUAGUACAGAGACCUUAUGUAAAAAGCAAGUGAACUCAUGAAUAAAGAUGUGCUGGUUACAUCAAAUUAUUCUGUGCAUUGCUUUCGUAUUAUUCUCUGCACAAAAUAGCCAUCAUUUUAUGUAAUUUAAACUUGGUAUCGGAGCUCUCAUUCCAGAAAUGGGCGUGAUUCAAUAUCGUAGUUCAACUGAAGAGGUUGACCUUAGUGAGCAAACACUUGAAACACCAGCAGUAACACAACAGUCAUCAUCCUUAAUUAUUGCGCAAAACUCCUCUCAAAUUUUCCUUUUCAGUUUCCACAGAACUUGACAGAACUAUGUCAUCUAGAGGACCAUGGUCAUGCCUGCCAUACGUCGCAAUGGUCUGGAGCACCUCAUUAGUGACUCACAAGACAUACCAACCAAAUAUAUCAUCAGUACUGAGGAUGACGGCACAACCAAAUCAACACUAAGACCAAAUUUUGUGAUGUGUUGCAAACCGGACCAACUACUCCUUAGUUGGCUUCUUUCUACAAUCACAGAAAGUAUUAUUUGUGCUGUGACUCAUUGCACAGCUUCUCUUGAGUUGUUGACAGUGCUGGAGAAAAUUUACUCUUCACAGUCCAUGGCUAGGUCAAUAGUGCUAAGGAUGCAACUGCAUAGCACUAGAAACGACAAUAUGAUUAUCAGUGAAUACUGCACCUAAGAUGAGAAAUCUGGUAACGGAACUUGUUACUGCUAGAAAGAUUGUCUCAAAUGAAGAUCUCUGCAACCACAUUAUCACAGGACUUGACAGAAGCUAUGAGUCUGUGUUGGGGAGCCGGACUUCAAUGCUUUAAAACAUUCCUUUUUGAAGAACUCUGCUCAAUCCUCUUAAGCCAUGAAGCAAGACUUGAACAGCAAGCACCUGCUGAAGCACAAGCUGCCUAUGAGGCAAAUGUCACCAUGAAACACAAGUGUGGGAUGAAUGAGAACAAGGAAGGUCAUGGGAAAGGAUACAAUCCAAACCAAGGACCUGGAAAGUCUCAUGGAGGCAGAGGAAGCAACAAUAACAGCUUAAGAGGAAGGGGCAGAGGUAGAUAUGGAGGAAAGAAAACAGUCUUUAAGCCUGAUGUCACCUGUCAUAUUUUGCUUCAAAGUUGGUUACACUACAGAUGAGUGUUGGCACAUACGUGAGGAAGACUUUGUGCCCAGAAACAAUGAGCAACAACACCAAAGAGCGGCCUUUGUUGUAGCUAAUGAAGGAGUGCUUGAAACAGGGUGGAACCUAGACAGUCGUACGACAAACUAUGUGACUAAUGACCUCAACAACUUGAGCAUGAGAUCUGAGUAUAAAGGUAAUUCCUUUCUCAUGGUUUGAAAUGGACACAAAUUAAAAAUAUCACACACUGGCACAAUACUAUUUCCUUUAUCUUUUGGUAAAAAAAGAACAUACUUGACUCUUAAGAAUGUUUAAUAAUGUUCUAUAUGUACUUGAUAUAACCAAUAAUCUCCUUAGCAUAUCAAGUUUGAUCUCAGAAAACCAUCUUAAUAUCUUGUUUACUGAAAAACAUUGUUGUUGUAAAGGACAAGCUGGGGAGUGCUCUUCUUCAAAGAACGAAUCAUGGAGGACUGUUUGUGGUCAGUAGAACUGCUGAAAAUAAAGCGGGAAGUGUUGCUGUCAAUUCUCUUUUAAGUUCACAGUCUUUGUUUGCAAUUAUAAUAGAGUCAAAUUCAGUUGAGUUUGAUUCUAAGUCGGCAGAGUUUGAAUGUGUUCAGUCUAUUGAGUCGAAUAAAAAUCGAGUUGGAUAUGUGAAGCAAUUAGACCUUUUAGAUAGAAAGUUUGGUCAUCCAAGUGAUGCUGUCCUCAAAAUAAUAGUGUCAAGCUGUAAUAAUAUCUCAGCCUUAAAUAAAAAAGAAUCAAGUUCCUUUUGUUCAGCCCAUAUAUAUAGAAAGAACCAUAAGCUAAGCUUCAAAAAAAGCUCACGGACUAAAACGCAAGCAACAUUAGAAUUAUUGCACAAUGAUAUCACCUAUUCCAUUAGGAGAAAGGUACAAAUACUGAGCAUAGUAGAUGACCACACUAGGACAUUUCCACUCAUUAACAAAUCUGAAACAACAAAAAUCUUUAUAAAAUUUAAAGAACAAGUGGAAAGAACAUCAGAAAAGAAAACUUAAGUGCUUAAGUGACUGAGAGGUGAAUUUAGGCCAUUAAAGGGUAUGUAGAGAUAUGAGGAAUAGUCUUUAUAUAUUCAUGCCCUUACACUUCAAUGAAGAAUUGAGUGGAACUGUAUAUAUGCCACAACCAGAUGAAUUUGAAAGCAAGGAAAAUUGGAAAAACCAAGCUAUGUCUGUGAUUGGAAAAAGCACUAUAUGGCUUAAAGCAGGCACAAGGAGUCUGGUAUAAGAAGCUGAGAGGAGUUUUGCUGACUUGCGGAUUCAAAAUGCAAUCUCAGACAAAUCGCAGACACAUUAUUAUUUCUCGGGAAGAAUAAGGGAAAGUCAGUAUAUGUACUUAUAUAUGAUGAUGACAUAUUGAUCACAGGAAGUGACCAAAGAACGACUGAAGGCGUUAUCAAACAAUUGAAUGAAAGUUUUGCUUUUAAAUUACCUCGCAUACCCAUCUAUUUUAUGCAAAUUGAAGCAAAAAGAGACUGUGGAGGGAGGCACUCGUGCUAAGAAAAGUAUAUACAGGAUCUACUAAAGAAAACCAAAAUGUUACAGCUAUAAGAAUAGUACGGAGACCUUGUAUGAAAAGCAAGUGAACUCAUGAAUAAAGAUAUGUCGGUUAUAUCAAGUUAUUCUAUGCAUUGCUUUCAAAUUAUUCUCUGCACGAUAGCCAUCAUUUUCAGUAAUUUAAACUCUUACGCUAAUUGGAAAAUGCACUGGCUUGCUUCUGCAGUAAUUUGGUUGUUGGAUUGGACCAUUGAUUUUAAGUGAUGAAGACAAAAUUCAACAAGGAACACAUACGAGCCACAUGGAAAAAUUCAUUUUUAAUCAUUAUUAAUCACAUAAUAUGAUCCAUGUAGCAAAAAUUAAAUUUAUUAUUAAUAUGAGCCAAGGACUAAUUAUUUCAUACAACAAAGACAACAUUAUGGUAUUUGUUAUUUAGCUUUAUUAUAUGUUGUUCCCUUUCUAUAAAUAAGACUUCGAGCCGUAUUGAAUAAAUAAGGUGAAAGUUAAUUAUCUGCAAUCAUGACAUAUUCCCAAGAUUCAAAAAUCAAUUCAAAUGCCACCUAACAAUAUUUAUUAAAAAUUAAAAAAAUAAAUAUAAAUAGAAACAAAUUAAUGAUUUUCGACUACCCCAAAAUCUAACACAUUUUUUAUCCUGCUGAUAUCUAAAAUCUUGAUUCUCUCAAACUAACAAGAGUUAGAAACAAAACCUAGUCAAAGCAGUGGAUUUAAUUAUACAUUUGUAAAAAUUAUGGCAUCAUCCAUUUUGGAUGCCACAUUAUUUUUAUAUCUAUCGCAAUUUGAUGAGGCAAAGGAAAAAUGAUGACUUUUUUCGAUGAGACAAAAGAAAGAUGGCUUGUUUUUUAAUGAAGAACAAAAAAAUGACUUCAUUUUAGUGAGGCAAGAGAAUAUUGAUUGUUUCUUUUAUCUUCUUCACUGCUUGUUUCGGUUGCAAUAUUUCAAAUUAGUGCAUGAUUAAAAUUCUGUUUUUAUAAAAUCACAUCACAGAUGAAGAUAUGUGGAAAGACAAUUAUCGACGAAGAAGACAUACUUAACAUUUCGUGCUAUAAACAUGAUUCUGCAGCAAUAAUAUAGAGCUCACUAACUUGAUACGCAUAAAGUUGGUUUUGAAGCAAAAUGCUAUCACACAGAAUCGUGGUGAAAAUCAUUGACAUGACAAGGUCAUAGUCGUGCUAAAAAUCAUGGUUACAAUUAUGAUUGACGUCAUGAUCUUGAAGAAAUCAUUAUCAACCUUAUAAUGAUAGUAUACAUCUGGAUAUCUUAGAUACAUGAUGCGUAAACAGUUGAUUUAAUUGGUUAUAAAGAUAUCUAUCCCUGUUAAGAUUACUAUUAAAUUUUAUUAGCUUUUAUAUUCCUAUCUAUUUUAUUUUUUAUGACGAUGCCUAACAUAUUUUACUCUUGAAAGGAUAUAGAUACUCAAAGGGGAUUGCAUCAUAAAGAAAUGUGUUUAGCUGGCAGUAUAACUACACUAACUAUCCUUUGAAAUAAUAAAUAUUUUAUGAGUUUGUAAUCAUUUGAAGCUAAGAUAAGUGCCAUCUUAGGUCCUGUUGAGAUCUAGUUGAAGACUCUAGAACAUUCACGUUCAUAUUACCAAGUUAUAACAAAAUUACAUAUCUAUAAUGCUCUGUAUUCACUAACAGUAGAAGAAAUCUUUUGAGUUUCAAAUAUAUUCGCAGUAAUGAAUUUCAUAUAGAGAAAAUAAAUGAGAAUAAUACAGAAUGUCUCUAUAUUACUUCUAGUGUCUUAGGUAAAAAUGUAUAUUGGAAAAGCUUUCUACUUUUUGAUCUGACUUAUAUUCAUACAACGAUAAAACUAGUUGGGAGCUACACAAUCAUGAACCAAAGACUUUGUGAUUCAAAAGUUUUUAUAUCUCAGUCACCUAGGUCAACUAUGAUGAGUAGAAUUAUCGAGAAUUCUUAUGGACAUCAUUUAAAGAAUCUAAAGAUUAUUCUCUCCAAUGAGUAUAGUUGCACUACUUGUUCCUAGGGUAAAUUAAUUAGCACUUAGACCAUCACAUUCGAAGAUUGGUCUUGAAUCUCUAUUGUUCCUACAAAUAAUUCAGGCAUAUAUAUGUGGACUUAUUAGCCCAUCUAGUGGUCUAUUUCAUUAUUUUAUGGUCUUGAUUGAUGCAUUUGACAGUAGUCAUAUGUUUAUUUAUUAUCUAUAUACAACAUUGUAUUUACUAGAUUGCUUGCACAAGUUAUUAAGUUACCUGCACAAUUUUAAGAUUAUCUAGACAAUGCUAGUAAGUUUACGUCUAAAGUUAUUGGUGAUACUACAGUUCUUUGGGAUUGAUAUAGAGCACCCAAUAUCACAUAUUCAUACUUAGAAGGGAUUGGUAGAAUCCUUCAUCAAACUGCUUUAGCUGAUUAUAGGAACUUUAUUGUUUCAUACUCAAUUACCUAUUUUUGCAUAUGGACAUACUAUUUUGCAUGCUAUGGUACUAAUACCUAGAGGCAUACUGCCUAUCACCAAUAUUCCUCAUUGCAAUUAGUACAUGGCAUCAACCUAAUAUAUCUCAUUUGUGCACUUUUGGCUAUAUUGUGCAAGUUCUUGCGACACCCCCCUAGUGUACUGAAAUAAGACUUCAACGAUAUUUUGAAUUUUAUGUGCAUUUUGACUAUCUAUUAUCAAAUGUCUUGAACCUAUUACCAAUAAUUUUUUUACCGCAUGCUUUUAUGAAUUUCCAUUUUAAUGAGAUAAAAUUUCCUUUGUUGGAGAAAAAAAAAAAAGCCACCAUAUGCUGGGAAUGAGCUUUUAUAAUAAGUGACAAAAUUGUCUCCUCUAGAUUACCACACCACUCAAAGUGAAAAUGAAAUGUGGUGAAUAAUUCUCUUACAAAAAAUUAUAAAUCGCUUGUUAGUUGUAUUUACAAAUGUAUCGAAAGUAAUCAAGUCAUAUGUACUGGUUGCAAAUGUACUUGGCCAAUUAGUUGCUCCUAAUUUUAAUAAAUAAAAAAAACUAUUUGAAUCGUCUAUGGCACGCCUUAAGUAUUGUAGACCCAUUGGCUCAAAGGACAACAUUCUGCUGAAAAGAAAAAUAAAAAGUUAGGAUCUGUUAUCAUGAAUGAUCAGGCUCUAAGUGAAAGUGGUCCUUCAAAGCAAAAGGUCCUUGAUGAGAACUAUGUGCCUACAGUAACACUACCUCCUAAAGAGACAAUUACCUUAAAUAUGGCCAAGCACUUGAUGUGGCUUAGUGAUGGUUGUCGAAGCCAACAAAAAUAAAUUCUUACUCUAAAUAAAUUAUGUAUAGUGAUUGAGCAGGGUCGUGUCCAUAGAGAUCGGUAAUUAUUUAAAUCAUUUUGAAACGUAAAACAUAAAAUGGGGGUUUUGUUGACAAUAAUAAAAAUCAAAUUAAAAUAACAAGAAUGCAAAUUAAAGUUGUAAUUCAAAUUGGAGAAAGCUCUGGUUGAAAGAAUUAACUCAGCUUGAUUCGACUACUGAUCAUUGAUUCAAAUAUAGAUUAUUAUUACUUAUGAAUAGACCGGUUAUAGCAAUUGAGACCCUCUAAUAGCCAAUCUCUCCUUAACUAGUCGAUAACCAAGGUACGACCGUUGGAUAUUUCCCUAAUCAAUAGACAACCCUAGAUACGAUCAUAGGAUUUAAUCAAUUGACAGCCUGAAAAACCAGAGAGACCCAAAUCCUAAUCAACACAUAUGAUGAUUCAUUUAAAUUAGAUUGUUUAUUCUCACAACACAACUCUCUGCUAUUUAUUUGUCACAAACAUUAAAUUCUUCAUACGAUGAAUCCUUUAAUUAACAAUAGAUUAAGUUGAUAAUUAAAUAGUGGCCAAUUAUCUAAUUAACAAACAUAAUCAUGAAAAUAAUUCAGAGAAUAAACAAAUACCCAAAAAGUAAUAAAACAAUUAAAGCACAAGAAAGAUCUCACAGUAGUGAUGAAUCAAAGCUUCAUUAUCCUUCAACCAGAAAAAUAGGUUUAGUUCUUCAUAGAGAGAAGAGAAAAAUUAAGAUCUAGGGUUUCUUUCUUUUUUUCCAAUCCAAAUCCUUCACAAUAGAUUCCUCCCUUAAAUACUCUCUCUCUCUUCUCUUUUAGAAUUCUAUUUAAAAUAAAAUACUAAUAUCUGAAAUAUUAAAUUCGUAAUUACAAAAAUAACCAAAAAUACAAAACACGUUAAACUAAAAACUACAGGUCCGCAGUUGACAGCACGCGCCCACGCCUUAUCAACAAAGUUCUUCUGACGCUCAUAAUUUCUCCAAGAGAACAAUCAUCCUUAAACAUCAUCUUAUAGCUCAAUUUUAUCACCAAUCAAUAGAAUUGCACCUACAAAAGUAAAACACAAGUAAAUCACUAUUAUUAAGUGCAAAACAUCGAUAUUAAGAGAAGUAAACAAUGCAAAACUAGUGCAUAAAUUUCACUCUAACACUUAGAAUGAAGAAAAUACACAAAUUUUGCUCACAAAAAAAGGUGUGGAAUCUUAAAGAAACAAUCAUCGAUGAUAAUUUGCGUUUAUAGUAGCCACUGGUUUAAUAAAUGAUGAUAUUGAACUGUAAUCCAUUGAUAUGUAGAUUGAGACAUGAUUGGCCUGCAUAGGAAGAAGCAAUCCAUAUGAAGUUGGCUUCUUUGGCAAAAUGAUUAUUUUUUAAUGUAACCUAAAUACCUACUUGUAUUAAAUCUGUUGGAUAUAAAUAGAUAUUUUUUAAGAAAUGUAACUAAAAGAAUAAGGUCGUUAUAUAUAAAGCACGACUCAUUGCACAAGGUUUUUUUAUAGAGACUAGGUAUUGACUAUGGGAUACCUAUUUAUUGGUAGUGCAUAUAGUUACAUUCCAAUUCUUCUAUUUGAGAGGCUUGAUACGCAUUUAAUAGAUAAGUGAUAGGUUUUUGUGUGUAUGAAAACUCCUAAAGGAUUCAAAAUGCUUAAAGCAUUGUAGUCACCACAUUGUAGCUUGUAUUCUACAAAGCUAUAGAAAUCUUUAUAUGAAUUGAAACAAUCUUGACAUAUCUGAUAAAGUUUCCUUAGUGACUACAUGAUCAAGGAAAGAUACAUGAAUGAUCUUAUUUGUCUUCGUGUAUCUAUAAACAAGCUAAAAUCUAGAUUUGCUAUUGCAGUAGUCUAUGUUGAUAAUAUGAAUUUGAUUGGAACUCUCAAAGAUGUCCAAAAGCCUACUGAUUAUUUAAAAAAGAGAGUUUAAAAUGAAAAAUUUUGGGAAAACUAGAUACUAUGUAAAGUUAUAGAUCGAGCACAAAUCUAAAAAUAUCUUUAUUUUUUAGUCAAAUUAUUAUGAAAAGAUAUUAAAAUGUUUUAAUAUGGACAAAACUUCUCUAUCAAUUACCCCAAUGGUAGUUUCAUCUCUUGAUCUUAAAAAGAUUCAUUUAAUCCUAAAGAGGAUGAUGACCAAGUGCUUGCUUCAUCAAAUACCAUAAGUUGAAUGCCCGUUGGUGCUUUAAUGUAUUUAGCCCAAUGUACUAUAGCUGUGUUCAAUAACUUGUUAGCAAGGUUUAAAUCUUGAAUUGAGCUAGACGACAUUGGAAUGGUGUUAAACAUCUUUUUCAUGAUCCUCUUGGAAUUAUCAAUUUCAGUUUAUUUUAUUCUAGUAAAUUAACCAAAAAUCUAAGUCUUAUUAGUUUUGCAGAUAUCCUCAUAAAGCUUGUUCUUAGAGGGGUUAUGUUUUUACUUAUACUAAAUAUUGAUUUCUUAAAAAUAUGUGAAGUUGACUCUUGUACUUGCAUUUUCCAAUCGCUUUGAGAUCCUUGUAUUGCAUGAAGCAAGUAGAGAAUACUUAUGGUUGCGGUCCAUUAUGCAUCAUAUCCAGGAUGCUGAUAAAUUAUCUUCAAGUGCAGACAUCCAAACGGUAAUAUAUGAAAAUAAUGUUUCUUGUAUAGCUCAAUUCAAGAGAGCAUAUAUCAAAGGAGAUUGAAAAAGCUUACCUCACCAAAGUUCUUCAAUACUCAUGAGCUCCAACAAAAUAAGACGAUCGAUAUCAAGCAGAUACAUUACACAAAUAAUUUUACAUAUAUGUUUAUUGAAGCUCUAUGCAUAUCAACAUUUUAGAAAAUAGUAUAUGGCAUCAGAAUGUGCCAUUUAAACAGAAUAUCGAGACGAUCAUUAGUUGAAUGCUCAUCAGGAGAAGAAAAAAUUUACCAAAGAAGAAUUUCAAUAAUUAAAUUGGAUACAUCUGCACGAUACUCGUUUUUUUCCCUUUGAAUAGAUUUUUCUACAAGAUUUUAGUGGCAAAGGUUUUUAAUUAGAUAAUUUAAACCACAUGCAGCCCACUUUAUCGUUCGCUAAAUUAUAUUUCUUUUGGUUGAGCUUUUUUUCUAUUGAGUUUUUCCAUAACAAAAGUCAAAUACAAUUAUCGUGAAGUGGUGGAUACCAAAGUGGGGGUGUUAUGGAAAUUAGUGAUUUAAAAAACAACUCAAGAGAUUUGACGGCUAAAGAGCUAAACAAGUCAAUCAAUUGUGGGUAUUAAGGUCACGAUGUGUCCUAAGGCUUGGCUGUGUUUUAAUUAGCUGAUGGAUUCCCUGAAUAGAGAGCACUACUCAUUGUAAUUUGUAUCCGAAGGCUUGGCUGUGUUUUAAUCGGUUGAUGGAUCCUAUAAAUAGGGAGCACUGCUCUUUGUAAUUUGUAUCUGAAAUUGAAAGCCUUAUCAAUUACAAUAAUAUCAUCUUUCUUUAUAUCAUCUAUUUAUCUAUUUAUACGUCUUACCUAUAUUCUCAAUAAUUAUAUUAUAAUUGAUAUUUUUAUUGUUUAUUGUGCACUGAAUAAUUCUUUUUUUAACCUUUGCUUACUAAUAGAAUUCUUCUUUUUUUUUUAAUAUUCUCUUUAGCGUAUGAAAUUGAUACAAUUUAUUUUUUUCGAUUUUAGUACUUUUUUCGUUCAACUACUUAGGAAUUGUUUGGUAAUGAGAUGAUGUGGUUUUUAAUAUACAGUUGUUGGGAUAAAAGCUAAAUUUGUCAAAGAAAAGCUUAUAGAUUAUGGUAAAUAAUAAAUUUUGUAUUAAUUUUUAUAUUUAACAAUUAUUACAAAAAUUAUGAAAUAAGAAAAAAACCACCAGCUAGGCAGUGGAGCCACAACGUAGUGUGUUUUACCAAACACCCAAACAGAUCCCUAACUAGGGUGUUUAAAUGUCUACAAUUAAGAUUAGUUUAGAAAAUAAGGUCCUAUUUAGUAUUGAGGGGCUAUCUACAGCUAAUGUCGAACAAAAUUGUAACUAUGAAAUAAAAGUUAACAAUAUAUAGUAAAUAUAAUUUUUAAACAAUAAUUUUGAUAAAAUUAAUAAAGGCAUAAUAUUUUUUUUUCAUCUUAUAUGUAUAAAAUCAAAUAAACUUAACUUCUAAACUACAACAACUAAUAUUUACCAAACACUUUAAUGUUGUAUCUUAAAAUCUAUAACUAUCCAACCUCAAUUUUAAAUAGGGCCCAAGUAUGGGUAAUGCGUGGGAUUUAGCAUCUCACAACUUACCUAGCGUGUUAUUAGUGAAAUUACAUUUACAAUAUUUUUAGCCCACUUACGUAGAUGGAUCAACUGGCUGUUAACAUGUUCUCCACCAUGGUCACCAGAGUUCAAGAAAAGGAUUUAUACUGUUUAGUAGGUGAAGUUUCACAUUUCCAUCCAAAUAUUUUAUUAAAAAAUAAAUCAAGAGUAUUCAUUGUGAAAAAGAAGUUUUUGUCCAAACAUUAAAAGGAUCUUCCAAAUUAAUGUAAAACAUAGAGCACAAACGAGUUAAUACUCAUUUAUAUAUCAAGUUAAACGGGUUAAUUUUGUGUUAAUUGUGUUAUAGAUAGGCAAGAGUAAGAGACACAAACAAGAUCAAAAGGAUUAUCUUAGAUGGAAAAUUCUAUAAUACCAUAACAAAAAUUACGGUAUUAAUGCCGUAGUUAUUUUAUACUGUUGGAUGAGAUCAACGAUGUACAAUAAUUAAAAUAUAAUAAAAAAUGUAAAUUUUUUUUCUUUAACCGGUUUACAACUGGUUAUUUAUUUAUAAAAAAAUAAAUUUAACUGGCUAAAACAGUGGGGAAAAAGAAGCGGUUUUUGUUUGCCUCCAAUACUCUUUUCCUGCUGAUAAUUUAGCAAAAACAGAGGCAAAAAAAAGCAAAAAAGAAGAAGCCCUACAACGACGUCGUUGAGGAGAAUCGAGCUGAGUCCUUGAUCGUGAAGCGGUUUUCAGUCGACGAUAACGACCCGAAGUCGGCGAUUGAUACCGUAAUCGGCGCCAGCGAUUAAUAACCAUAUAAUCCUCUGCUGCCCUUAAUCUUGUUGAGGGGAAGAGAACCACGGCAAAUUACUAAUAAAAAUAAGGCAAGUUGCAGGCCACUGAUUCUCCUCUACCACAUUCGCAUUGUCGUUAAUUUCAACAUGUGUUUUUUUUUUUUACAAUUUAUUUGACCAAGACACACAAAUAUAUAUAGAGAGAGAGAGCAUGCACUAGACUUUGAUAUGAUUUUUUCUUGUUAUUACAAGUAUUACUUGAAUACAAGUAAUAUGUCCUGUUCUGAAAACACAUAUUGUCGAAUUAUGUAAUGUUCAUUUGGUUCGUAUCUUAUAAUUUCUCUAGUUUAUUCAAUCUGAUUUGCUGACACUUAUGCCCAAUAGCCCUAGUUUCCUUUUUUACAAAUCCACUUAGAAAAAUUUCUUUGUUAGUGGUUCUAUUUUUAUUUAUUUAUUUUUGAGUGAUUUGCCAAUGUGUUAAAAUUGUGCUUGGAUCCUACAUAUUGGUAGUUAACGUUGAUGCUUUGAUGGAAUUUCUAAUAGAGUGAGUAAAUUUUGUUGAAAUUUCUAAGUAGAGUCUUCAAGUUAUUUGUUGAAAUGCCUGAGAGAAACAAUGUGUUUGUAUAUGUUCUAUUAUUCAAAUAUGAGGUAUGAAAAUGAAAAUAAAAAUUUUGCGUUUGGGUUAAUUUUCUAUUGUAUUUGGAAUGAUUUGCUGUUGUUUUUUAGUAAAAUUUUUCUAGUGUUUUGGGUUUCAUUUGCUGCAGUUUUUAGGUUAAAUUUUCUACUAUUUCUGGGCCAAUUGGCUGUUGUUUUUCAGUUUAAUUUUCUACUAUUUUUAGAUAAAUUUACUGCUGUUUUUGCGUUAUAUUUUCUGCUGUUUUCAAGUAAAUUUUUCGGUGUUUCGAGCUUCAUUUGCUGUUGCUUUAGGUUAAAUUUUCUACUGUUCCUGGGUCAAUUGGCUGCUGUUUUCAGUUUAAUUUUUUGCUGUUUUUAGAUAAAUUUACUACUAUUUUUGGGUUAUAUUUUCUGUUGUUUCUUGGUAAAUUUUUUCUAGUGUUUUGGGCUUCAUUUGCUACUGCUUUUAGAUUAAAUUUUUUGUUGUUUCUGGGUCAAUUGGCUGCUUUUUUCAGUUUAAUUUUUUACUCUUUUUAGAUAAAUUUACUACUAUUUUUGGGUUAUAUUUUCUGUUGUUUUUAGAUAAAUUUACUAUUGUUUUUGGGCUUCAUUUGUUGCUGCUUUUGGGUUAAAUUUUUUGCUAUUUCUGAGUCAAUUGGCUGUUGUUUUUUAGUUUAAUUUUUUACUCUUUUUAGAUAAAUUUACUACUGUUUUUGGGUUAUAUUUUCUGUUGUUAUUAGAUAAAUUUUUUGCUGUUUUUGGGUUUAAUUUGUUGUUACUUUUGGGUUAAAUUUUUUGCUAUUUCUGAGUAAAUUUGCUAUUGUUUUUCAGUUAAAUUUUCUGUUGUUUUUGGAUAAAUUUACUGCUGUUUCCAGAUAAUUUUUUUGCUGUUUUGGGCUUCAUUUACUGUUGUUUUUAGGUUAAAUUUGUUGCUGCUUCUGGGGUAAAUUUGCUGCUGUUUUUCAAUUAAAUUUUUUGUUGUUUUUAGAUUAAAUUUUUUUCGUAUAUUGGGCUUCAUUUGCUGCUAUUUUGUGUUAAAUUUUUUUUUGUUCUAGGUAAAUUUAUUACUUUUUUUAGUUAAAUUUUUUGUUGUUUUUGGAUAAAUUUACUACUAUUUUUUGGGUUAGAUUUUUUGCUGUUUUCUGGUAAAUUUGCUGUUGUUUUGUGCACAGAGCUGGUCGAAAAAUGGUCAUGAUGCAUUUUGAAUGCAGAAUGAUGGAGACUGGUAGUAAAAGUUGCUUGUGUUGUUUUUGCUGCUACUUGCUCCAUUUGAGCUUCUAGAAAUUGUUAAGGGUAGCGGGGAAGAAGAAAGAGAUGAUGAGAAAUGCAAAUUGUUUGUGAGCUUUAGAUUGAUGUACCAAGCCAAUAGUUAUAUUGCAAAAUAUCUGUUUUUUUUUUAGUUUGUUAAUUUUUAUUUUUUUGGAUUAUAACUAAUGCUGUAAAUAGUUAUUGUUUGUCACCGUUCUAGAAGCAAAUACUAGUCUAACUUUCUAGGAAAGGUGUUCCUAAUUCUUGGUUGGGUGAUUGAAUUUUGUAUUGAAAUGUUUAUUUCUAAAAUAUUUUUAGAGGAUCCAAAACUUGUGAUAUUUGACAUUUCUUUUUGUGCUUAAUAUCUUCAUGUACAGGUUCUUGUAAACUUGAAAAUGGCAGAAAAUGUAAAAUGAGAAUGAUUUCAAGGAGAAUGAUAAUGUGAACCAAGAAAAUGAAAUUUUAAGAAAAAAUCGGCCUUUCAUUGAGCAUAUUUGCACCUCGGAUUAUGAUGAAUGGUUGCACGGCCUACGUGCUAGCAGAUUUAGAUGCGGAUUUGGCGAAUAUUGGCUUUGCAUGUUUGGAGAAUUGAGAGAGAGAGAUUCAUAUUUGGGGAAUGACGAAUAGGGACUAUGUUUUAAUUUUUCACUUUGUCGUUCUUGUCUUCUAUGGUGCCAUUGAGACUUGAGAGCUGAGCCUUUUUUUUACCGCUUUCACUUAAAAAGGAAAAUGAAUAUUAUAAGGAAACGACGUAGUUUUAGUGAAUUUUAAAUGUUAUAAUUUUUUGUUGUUGUUUAUAUCUUAAUUAUAUAACAUUAUUUUUUAAAAUAAGUUAAAGAUAAAAUUUAUAACAUUUAUAUAUAUACCUAAAAUAUAUAUAGAACCACUUAUGUUAUGAUUUGUUUUUGGGUUCAGAUUUAUCAUUUUUAGUUAAAUUUUAAAUUUAUGAUUUUAUACCUAAUUUUUCAUUCGGGAAAGGGACAUGGUCGAUUUUUAUAAACUAAUUUAAAGAAAAAUGAUAGGUUUAUGAUUUUAUUAAUAUAUUAUAAUUAAUAAUAAUAAUAAUUUUUUAAUAAAUAAUCACUAUAAUUAAAAUAUAAAAUAAUAAUUAUGAUAAUAAUUCAUUAAGUACAUAUAUUACAUGCAAGGAAGACUAGGCUCGACUUUUAGUCUAAUUAACUUGACCUGAAUUUUUUGGCCUUUGACUCGAAUUUAAUGGUUAGGCUUGGGUCUAAAUAUUAGAGCCCAAUUAAAUUCAUAUCAGGGUUAGGGACCUAUAUGCCCGACCCGACCUGAUCUGACCUAACCAUAAAACCUAAAAAAAAUGUAAUAAUAUGAUUACGGCCCUGAAUAAUCUUUAUUUUUAUGUUACUUCAAACAAUUUCUAAAGCUUUUAUAUUUUACUGUAUAUGGGGAGGCUAUGUCCAAUUUUUAAAUUUUAAAUUAACUAAAAAUUAAAAAAAAAACUUUAAAAGAAAGUUUGAUCAGGCCCACGCUUUCAAAUAAUAGGGCCUUUUUGGGCUCGAAAAUUUUAUUUCAGCUAUAGAGUCAGGCUCAGAAAUGGCUAAGCACAGGCCUAACUCGACCCACUGCCAUCCUUUCGAAUAGACUAUUGAUCCAUUAUGAACUCAUCAAUUAAAUUCAUGAUCAUAGUAAAUGUGUUACUAUCAUUCUUUUGUUUGCAAGAACAACUUGUAAACAAAAUAAAAAUUUAGUAAAAUGACACAGAAUUUGUAAAUUGACAUUAAGUGUAAAAUAAAAUAAAAAAUUUGUAAAGCACACAUAAAACUAGUAAAUUGAUGGAAAAUUGGGUAAAUUAAUGUUCGAAUUGUAAAUUGCAAGAAAAACUUGUAAAUAAAAUAAAAAUUUAGAAAAAUGACAUAAAACUUGUAAAUUAACAUUAAAUAUAAAAUGAAACAAUAAAUUUGUAAACCACACAUAAAACAAGUAAAUUUAAGGAAAAAUGGGUAAAUUAAUGUUGAAGUUGUAAUUUGCAAGAAGAACUUGUAAGCAAAAUAAAAAUUUAGAAAAAUAACAUAAAACUUGUAAAUUGAUAUUAUGUGUGAAAUAAAACAAAAAAUUUGUAAACCACACAUAAAACUAGUAAAUUGAUGAGAAAAUGGGUAAGUUAAUAUUUGAGUUGUAAAUUGCAAGAAGAACUUAUAAACAAAACAAAACCUUAGAAAAAUGACAUAGAACUUGUAAAUUGACAUUACGUGUGAAAUGAAACAAAAAAUUUAUAAAUCACGCCUAAAACUAGUAAAUUGAUGGAAAAAGAGGUAAAUUAAUAAUGGUGUUGUAAAUUGCAGGAAAAACUUGUAAACAAAACAAAAACUUAGAAAAAUGAUAUAAAACUUAUAAAUUGACAUUAAGUGUGAAAUGAAACAAAAUAUUUGUAAAUCACAUAUCAAAAUAUUUGUAAAUCACAUAUCAAAAUAUUUGUAAAUCACAUAUAAAACUAGUAAAUUGAUGGAAAAAAAGUUAAAUUAAUGAUGGAGUUGUAAAUUAGAAGAAAAAAGUGUAAACAAAACAAAAAUUUAGAAAAAUGGCAUAAAACUUGUAAAUUGUCAUUAAGUGUGAAAUGAAACAAAAAACUUGUAAACCACAAAUAAAACUAGUAAAUUGAUGGAAAAAUAGGAAAAUUAAUGUUGGAGUUGUAAAUUGUAAGAAGUUGUAAACAAAACAAAACCUUAGAAAAAUGACAUACAACUUGAAAAUUGACAUUAAGUGUGAAAUGAAACAAAACAUUUGUAAAUGACAUAUCAAAAUAUUUGUAAAUCACACUUAAAAUUAGUAAAUUGAUGGAAAAAGAGGUAAAUUAAUGAUGAAGUUGUAAAUUAGAAGAAAAAAGUAUAAACAAAACAAAAACUUAGAAAAAUGAUAUAAAACUUCUAAAUUGACAUUAAGUGUGAAAUGAAACAAAAAAUUUACAAAUCACACCUAAAACUAGUAAAUUGAUGGAAAAAGAGAUAAAUUAAUGAUGGAGUUAUAAAUUGCAAGAACAACUUGUAAACAAAACAAAAACUUAGAAAAGUGACAUGGAACUUGUAAAUUGACAUUAAGUGUGAAAUAAAACAAAAAAAUUUGUAAAUCACAUUUAAAUUUAGUAAAUUGAUGAAAAAGAGGUAAAUUAAUGAUGAAGUUGUAAAUUAGAAGAAAAAAGUAUAAACAAAACAAAAACUUAGAAAAAUGAUAUAAAACUUGUAAUUGACAUUAAGUGUGAAAUGAAACAAAAAAUUUGUAAACUACAUAUAAAACUAGUAAAUUGAUGGAAAAAUAGGUAAAUUAAUGUUGGAGUUGUAAAUUGGAAGAAGAACUUAUAAACCAAACAAAACCUAAAAAAAUGACAGAACUUGUAAAUUUACAUUAAGUGUGAAAUGAAACAAAAAAUUUGUAAACCACACAUAAAACUAGUAAAUUGAUGGGAAAAAAGGUAAAUUAAUUUUGGAGUUGUAAAUUACAAGAAGAACUUGUAAACAACACAAAAACUUUGAAAAAUGACAUAGAACUUGUACAUUGACAUUAAGUGUGAAAUGAACCAAAAAAAUGUGUAAAUCACACAUAACACUAGUAAAUUGAUGGGAAAAGGAGUAAAUUAAUGUUGGAAUUGUAAAUUGCAAGACAAACUUGUAAACAAAACAAAAAUUUAGAAAAAUGGUAUAAAACUUAUAACUUGACAUUAAGUGUAAAAUGAAAUAACAAAUUUGUAAACCACAUAUAAAACUAGUAAAUUUAUGGAAAAUGGGGUAAAUUUAUGUUGGAGUUGUUAUUUGCAAGAACAACUUGUAAACAAAACAAAAACUUAGAAAAAUAACAUAAAACUUGUAAAUUGACAUUAUGUGUGAAAUAAAAUAAAAAAUUUGUAAACCACACAUAAAACUAGUAAAUUGAUGGAAAAAUUGGUAAGUUAAUAUUUGAGUUGUAAAUUGCAAGAAGAACUUGUAAAUAAAACAAAACCUUCGAAAAAUGAAAUAGAACUUGUAAAUUGACAUUAAGUAUGAAAUGAAACAAAAAAAAUUGUAAAUCAUGCAUAAAACUAGUAAAUUGAUGAAAAAAAAGGUAAAUUAAUGAUGGAGUUGUAAAUUAGAAGAAAAAAGUGUAAACAAAACAAAAAUUUUUAAAUAUGACAUAAAACUUGUAAAUUGACAUUAAGUGUGAAAUGACACAAAAUAUUUGUAAACCACACCUAAAACUAGUAAAUUGAUGGAAAAAAUGAGUAAAUUAAUGUUGGAGUUAUAUUUUGCAAGAAGAACUUGUAAACAAAACUAAAACUUAGAAAAAUCACAUAAAACUUGUAAAUUGAUAUUAUGUGUGAAAUAAAAAAAAUAUUUGUAAACCACACAUAAAACUAGUAAAUUGAUGAGAAAUGGGUAAGUUAAUAUUUGAGUCGUAAAUUGCAAGAAGAACUUGUAAACAAAACAAAAGCCUUAGAAAAAAAUGACAUAGAACUUGUAAAUUGACAUUUAGUAUGAAAUGAAACAAAAAAAUUUUUAAAUCACACUUAAAACUAGUAAAUUGAUUAAAAAAGAGGUAAAUUAAUUGUUGAGCUGUAGAUUGUAAGAACAACUUGUAAACAAAACAAAAACUUAGAAAAAUGACAUGGAACUUGUAAAUUGACAUUAAGUGUGAAAUAAAACAAAAAAUUUGUAAACCACAAAUAAAACUAGUAAAUUGAUAGAAAAAUGGGUAAGUUAAUAAUUGAGUUGUAAAUUGCAAGAAGAACUUGUAAACAAAACAAAACUUUCGAAAAAUAAAAUAGAACUUGUAAAUUGACAUUAAGUAUGAAAUGAAACAAAAAAUUUGUAAAUUAACAUUAAGUAUGAAAUGAAACAAAAAAUUUGUAAAUCACAUCUAAAACUAGUAAAUUGAUAGAAAAAGAGGUAAAUUAAUAAUGGAGUUGUAAAUUGCAAGAAGAACUUGUAAAAAAACAAAAACUUAGAAAAAUAACAUAAAACUUGUAAACUGGCAUUAUGUGUGAAAUGAAACAAAAUAUUUACAAAUCACACAUAAAACUAGUAAAUUUAUGGAAAAAGAGGUAAAUUGAAAUUGUAAAUUAGAAGAAAAAGGUGUAAACAAAACAAAAAUUUUUAAAAAUGACAUAAAACUUGUAAAUUGAGAUUAAGUGUGAAAUGAAACAAAAUAUUUGUAGACUACACCUAAAACUAGUAAAUUGAUGAAAAAAUGGGUAAAUUAAUGUUGGAGUUGUAAUUUGCAAGAAGAACUUGUAAACAAAACAAAAACUUAGAAAAAUAACAUAAAACUUGUAAAUUGACAUUAUGUGUGAAAUAAAAUAAAAAAUUUGUAAACCACACAUAAAACUAGUAAAUUGAUGGAAAAAUGGGUAAGUUAAUAUUUGAGUUGUAAAUUGAAAGAAGAACUUGUAAACAAACCAAAACCUUAGAAAAAUGACAUAGAACUUGUAAAUUGACAUUAAGUGUGAAAUGAAACAAAAAAUUUGUAAGUCACACAUAAAACUAAUAAAUUGAUGGAAAAAUAGAUAAAUUAAUGUUAGAGUUGUAAAAUACAAGAGGAACUUGUAAACAAAAUAAAAAUUUAGAAAAAUGAUAUAGAACUUGUACUUUGACAUUAAGUGUGAAAUGAACUAAAAAAUAUGUAAAUCAUGAUUAAAACUAAUAAAUUGAUGGAAAUGAUCCCUGGGUUAGCUCAUUUAAUUGACUGCACCACUACUGGAUUAAUAAGCUAGACAACUAGCUAUUUGGGUCAAAAACCUAAAUAUAUCAUUUAGUGGGAGGCUCCAUUUAAUUAGCUUAUGUGUAAAGGGCCUUAUGUUAUUUUACAAGGUGGGUCCCCUAUAGAAAAAGCAAGUAACGUGAGUUUUGAUUUUCAUUAUUUGGAGUCUAGGGUUUUCACUAAAGGGAGAUAUAAAAAAGCUUAUUUUCUCUAAAGAAAAAAGAGCAGCUCCUUUAUACAAAGAAGAGAAAAAGAUUUUUCUCUUAGUUAUUGAGAGAAAAAUUUUCUCGUGCUAGUUGCUUUGAUAGUGAUAAAGGCGUCCACACGUCAAGUGCAGAUCGACCCUGAGUCAUAACCUGGAAGAUCAUUGUGACAGUUCGUGAUCUAACAAGCGUAGUGGUGACGGAUCGUGAUCUAACAGGAGUGGUGGUGACAGAUCGUGAUCUGGGAGCCUAAAUCACUUCAAUAGAAAAAAGCCAAAUCGAAUUUUCAAGGUAUGAUUUCUAGAUUACAAAUUCUUAUAUAUGGUAGGAGAGCUAUCUUAAAAGGUUUUAUAAAAAUUUAAAAAUUAUAUUUUUCUCCAACAAUUGGUAUCAGAGCCAUCUCAUAUUAAUAUAUAAGAAUAUUGUAUGAAAUCAAUCUUGAAAUUUAUAUAUUAGAGUGGCACAAUUUAUUCAAAUAUAUAUUAUUAUUUUAAUAUAUGAAUAAAGCAUGUUUUUAGUUUGUCUUAAUUCAUGGUUAGAUUUUACGCUGUAUUUUUUCUUCGGAUCUGUAACAAGAGGGGUGACUUUUCAUCACAAUGUUUCCCUCUUGAUUUAUUUUACUGUUAUAGAAUUUUUGUAAGCCAAAAUUGGCCUAGGAAAUUUGUAAAUCAAUCAUGGAUGUCAGAUCAUCGGAAACGAAGGCCGGAUAUUUUGACAGCAGCAACAAACCAGCACGUGCGGCCAGCAAUGGCCAGCGGCACGCACUGCACGUGCUGCAGCUGCAAGCAAUGCUGCCAGCAGCGUGCAGCUCCUGGGUUCCGUCAUUUGGUGGCUUUCCGGCGUAGUGGCAAUGGUUAAAUCAGCGUCGAACUUGGAUGAACAGUGACUGGCUUUGUGGUGAUGGCGGAUGGGGAGAGUAAAAGAUGGAUUCAGGGUUUCAAUGGUUUUUAUCAUUCAGAUCCCUAUGGCUCCAUAUUUUUUUUCUUUUUGGGUAGACACGUUUAAAUUUUUGCAGUUAAGUCCAAAAACAGUAUUGGGCUUAAUGAAUCAUAGUUUAUGCUCAAUUUCAAUUGGGCUUAAUGGAUUAAAAUGCAUAGAUAAAAUUGAACACAUUAAGACGGAAGGGUGGAAACAUUUAAAGCAAGAUUAGUAGCCAAAGGGUUUACUCAGAAAGAGGGAAUCGAUUAUGAGGAAACUUUUUCUCCGGUUGCUAUGCUUAAAUCCAUCAGGAUUCUGCUCUCCAUUACUGCAGUGCUAGAUUAUGAAAUUUGGCAAAUGGAUGUCAAGACUGCCUUUCUUAACGGGUAUCUUGAAGAAAACAUCUACAUGCAGCAACCAGAUGGAUUUAUACAAAAAGGCCAUAAACACAUGGUAUGUAAGUUGCAGAGAUCCAUUUAUGGAUUGAAGCAAGCAUCCCGGUCAUGGAACAUCAGAUUCGAUCAAGUGAUUAAAUCGUUUGGAUUCAUUCAGAACAUUGAUGAACCAUGUGUGUACAAGAAAAUUCAAGAAAAAUCUGUAGCCUUCCUAAUUCUUUAUGUAGAUGAUAUUCUCCUAAUUGGAAACGAUAUAGGAGUAUUGACUACAAUAAAGAGUUGGUUAGCAAAACAAUUUGAUAUGAAAGACCUGGGAGAGGCAAGUUAUAUUCUUGGUAUCAAGUUACUACGAGACCGAAAGAAUAAAACUUUAGCCUUGUCUCAAGCGGUCUACAUCGAUAAGAUAUUGGCUAGAUUUAGCAUGGAAAAUUCCAAGACUGGUUUAUUACCAUUCAGACAUGGAAUUACAUUCUCUAAUGAUCAAUCACCUAAAACAUCUGAAGAGAUAGAGAGAAUGAGACGAGUUCCCUAUGCAGAAGCUGUGGGAAGUCUCAUGUAUGCCAUGCUUUGCACUAGGCCAGACAUCUGUUUUGCGGUAGGGAUGGUUAGUAGAUAUCAAUCUAAUCCUGGACCUGAACACUGGACUGCGGUCAAGCAUAUAAUGAAGUAUCUGAAAAGAACUAAAAAUUAUAUGCUUGUGUAUUCUGGUAAUGAACUCAUUCCAGUGGGUUAUACUGAUUCUGACUUUAUGUCAGAUAAGGAUUCCAAAAAAUCAACUUCCGGCUAUGUGUUUACAUUGGGAAGUGGAGCUAUUAGUUGGAGGAGUGUGAAACAAUCUUAUAUCGCAGACUCCACAACUGAAGCUGAAUAUGUGGCUGCAUCCGAAGCUGCAAAAGAAGCUGUAUGGCUCCGCAAGUUCCUACAAGAUCUUGAGGUGGUACCUGCUGUAUCUGCACCCCUGAAACUAUUUUGCGAUAAUAGUGGUGCGGUAGCUCAAUCUAAGGAACCAAGGAACCACAAGAAACAAAAACAUAUUGAGAGUAAGUAUCAUCUUAUAAGGGAUAUAGUGCAAAGGGGUGAUGUGGAGGUUACUCAGAUUGCGUCACAGCAAAAUUUGGCAGAUCCUUUUACUAAGGCCAUACCUGGGAAACCUUUUAACUUGCACUUAGAAUCCAUGGGCAUGCGUGAGAUGCCAAAUAUGCUUUGAGAGCUAGUGGGAGAUUGUUGGGAAAAUAUGCUCUUUAAAAGCAUAUGUGUUUAUUUAAUUGUAAUAAAUAAUUUUUCUGAUUAAUAAAAUAGAUGAGGUAUUUUAUUCAAAUAUAUUAAUUGCAUUAAUAUUUAUAUUAAAGUCCAUUUAAUCAUAUUAUAUGUAUUUAUGUGAUCACCAUGUGGAUUCACAGAAGACAUAAAUACAAGUUAUCUUAUGAUUAAAUAAAUUUAGUUCGCAGUUGAUAAAUAAAGUUGGGCACUUUAUUUAGGUAUAGACUGUAAUAAAUUCAUUGAAUGAUUUGUCUUAAUCAUGUAUGAAUUUAUUGGUGUAGUACGACUACAUUGAACAUGAUCACAUAUGAGAUUUAAUUAACUUUGUAAUAACUGUCAGACUUAUUAAAUCUCAUAGGCGUUGAUUUUACUGUAAUCUUAAUCUUGAGUUAAUUAUGAUUUCAUGAUUGUAAUUGUUAUUCCAUUUGAGUUACCAAUGGGCACGACACAUCCUUGUGGUCAAGAUUACCCGGUAUCUUGGUGGGAGCAAUUAUGAGUAUUGGAGUUAUGGAUUAACAAUAUAGAAUUUGUACAACACAUCUCUUGAUGGGUUUCUGAACUAAACAGACCUCAAUUACAAAAAGAUUUCAACACCCAAGUGUCAAUAGGAUUCUGAACUAAACAGGCCUCAAUUACAAAAAGAUUUCCCAUACCUGAUUUCACAAUCUUAGGGUAAUCCUUUUUCCAGUGACCUUUCUGUCCACACUUAAAGCAUUUGCCUUUCGGCUUGCCAUCUUGCUUGGUAGACGGUUUCUUUUUCCCAGCUUUCUUCUUACCUUUGCCUUUCGGCUUAGGCCCAGAAGAUGAACUUUUUUCAGUAAUAUUUAUGCUUCCCAGAGAUUUCUCAGCACGAUAGAUCUCUUCAGCAGAAUGGAGUUCGUUCAUCAAUUCAGUUAAGGUCAUGUUUCUUUUGUUCAUGUUAUAAUUGACCUUAAACUCAUUGAAUGUUUCUGGUAGAGAUUCUAGCACCAUGUCAAUCUUUGAGUUAUCAUCGAUUUGUGCUCCCUGAAUCUCAGCCUCAUUCAAAUAGUCCAUCAUUUUGAGGACAUGAUCACGAAUUCUUGUGCCCUUCCCCAUUUUACUGUUCAUAAUUCCUUUCAGCGCUGCUUGUCUCGCUGAGCUAGUACUCUGCCCGAACAUCUGUUGGAGACUAUCCAUUAUUUCAGUGGCAGUCUCCAAGUUCUGAUGUUUGGUCUGCAGAAUAUUAGAAAUCGAGGCUAAAAUGUAGCACUUUGCCAUUUCAUUAGCCUUUUGCCAUUUCUCAUAAAGCCUCCUCUGAUUUCUAUGAGCAUCAUCCGCUGGAACUGGAGGGCAUGGCUGGGUUAAGACAUAUUUAUAAUUUUCAGCAGUCAGGACAAUGAAUAUAUUUCUUUUCCAAUCUAUAUAGUUCUCUCCAGUGAGUUUGUUUUGACUCAGAAUAAUAGUAAGUGGGCUCAGGGAAGACAUUUUUUGAAAAUAAAACAUCCAUGCAUAAAUAAUUUGAAAUAAUAUUCAUAAUAAAUGACAAAAAUGCAUAAAACCAUAAAUGCAUUUUAAUUUAUUGUAACGAUAAUCUAAUUCCGCUUUGACAAGCUAUCCGGUGGGAAAGUCAUGUCUAUACUUACUAGACCCAAUUACCCAUUGGAUUAUUUACUUUCAUGUAGAGACAUGAUAAAUAAUUAUCGUUAUCUUUUUGGGCCUAAAUUUGUUAACAGAGCUUCGUUGGAAAGGUUAAUAACAAAUUUUAGUUGAGUGUAUAACCAUUGUUUCAAUCUACGUAUUUUUCAUAUCAAUAGUCACCGUUGGGGUGAACAAUUGAUUGAAAAAUAUUUCAAUUUUAUCUUUGAAGAAGUUCAUCAAAUAAAAUAUCUAAUAUAUAUACCCUCCGAAGGGAGCAUCACUGUAUCAUGAAGUCGAGGUAUAUAUAUAAUUUUAUUAUUGAACUAACAAUGGAGCCCUUGGGAAAAUUAUCUUGAAUUUUCCCUCUCCCACUCAAUAUUUUAAAAUUGGUUUUUCCUUUUUAAAACAUACAUAUUGUUAAUUGCAUGCUUCCUAUAAUAUUAUCUAGAUGAUAUCAAAUAUUAUUAAGCAUACGCAAAUUUCAAAUAAUAUAAUGAAAUUCAUUAUUAAUGAAUGACAUGUAUCAUUAUGCAUAGAGUGGCACUACCUAUUCUAUAUGACAUGUUAUCAUGGCAUGUGAUCAUCCAAAACAUAACAUAUAGAAAAACAAUUAAAUAAUCUUAAUUCAUGGCUUUCCUAAUAAUGAAAAAUACAUUAACCCCAAGCCUAAUCUUCAUUGGGCUUCUUGUCAAUGUCCAUCUUCGAUAAACUUGUCUUUGUUAAUGGACUAGGGGAAAUUGGGCUUUUAAAUUUAUAAUUGGUCCAAUUUUAAUUUUAAAUAAAUAAAAAAAAUUUUAUAAAAUUUUUGGACCAAAAAUAAAUUUAAUGUAUUUAAUUUUGUCUAUGCAUUUUAAUCCAUUAAACCCAAUUGAAAUUGGGCCUAAAACUAGGAUUCAUUAAACCCAAAACUAUUUUUGGAUUUAAACGCAAAAAAUUAAAAAUAUUUCUGCCUAACUGAAAAAAUAUGAAACUAUAGGGACCUCCAUGAUAAAAACCAUGGAACCCUAAAAUCACAUUUUUCUUUUCCUCUUCUUCCCCAGCCGCCACCAGUAAAAAGCACCAGCUUCUGUUCCCGGUCAACCGCCGCUGUUCAGAGACGCCAGCCGGUCUCCGACACAUCUCUGACGAGGAGCCAUCGCCAAUACGCCGGAAACAAGCCAACCCUGCGAGCGCUACUUGCUGGAACGCACGCUACUUCUGCGCACGCUGCUGCUGCGCGUACAGCGCGUGCCGCUGGCCAGGCUGGCCGCACGCGUCGCUUGCUGCACGCAGCGCCCGCUGCUGGCAGCGUGUGCUGCCUGCUGCGCGCAUUGCCAGCAUGCGCUUGCAGCGUGUACCGCUCGUUGGCUGCAGCGAGUGCGCUGGUCGGUGGUCGAUGUCAAAAUUUCCGGCCUCCGUCGCUUUCAGCUCGUUUUCCAGUGAUGAUUCUUCAGUGAUUUACAAAUUUUCAACGCAAAUUUUGGCUUACAAAAUUUCAAUUACAUUAAAAUAAAUCAAGAGGGAAACAUGGUGAUAAUAAACCACCCCUCUUGUUACAGAUCCAAACAAAAAAUACAGUAGCACAUCUAACCAUGAAUUAAGACAAACCAUAAACAUGCUUUAUUCAUAUAUUAAACAAAUAAUAUAUAUCUGAAUAAAAUGUGCCAAUCUAAUACAUAAAUUUCAAGAUUAAUUUCAUACGAAAUUCUUAUAUAUUAAUAUGAGGCUGCUCUGAUACCAAUUAUUGGCGAAAAAUGAGGUUUUUAUAAUUUUUAUAAAACCUUUUGAAGAUCGCUUUCAUAUAAUAUAUAAGAAUUUGUAUUCUAGAAAUCGUACCUUGAAAAUCCGAGUUGGCUUUUUCCGCUGAAAUGAUUUAGGCUCCUAGAUCACGAUCCGCCACCACCACUCCUGUUAGAUCACGUUCCUUCACCACCACGCUUGUUAGAUCACGAACUGUCACCAAUGAUCUUCCAGGUUAUGACUCAGGUUCGAUCUGCACUUGACGUGUGGGCGCCUUUAUCACUACCAAAGCAACUAGCACGAGAAAAUUUUUCUCUCAACAAUAGAGAGAAAAAUCUUAUUCUGCGAUUUGUAUAAAGUGGCUUCUCUUCUUUCUUUUGAGAAAAUAAGCCUUUUAUAUCACCCUUUAGUGAAAACCCUAGGCUCCCAAUAAUUAAAAAAAAAAACUCACGUUAUUUGCUUUUUCUAUAGGAGACCCACCUUGUAAAAUAACAUAAGGCCCCUUACACAAAAGCUAAUUAAAUGGAGCCUCCCACUAAAUGAUAUAUUUAGGCUUUUGACCCAAAUAGCUAGUUAUCUUACUUAUUAGUCCCGUAGUGGUGCAGUCAAUUAAAUGAGCUAACCCGGGAAUCAUUUGGGAACAUACAAUAGUGGCUACAAUAAUUAGGCCUGUAAUUAAAUUAGCCCAAUUAUUUAAUUCCAAAUCUACUCCACUAAAAGAUUGGAACUGACUUCCAUAAUUGUAUGCUCGAAUAAUAAUUCGUCCCAAGCCACAUUAAUUUCUUUACUGCACAAUCCUUUGUACCACAUCGUUAAUUAAAUUGAUAUCUCAACUGUCCAAUUAAUUUAAUAACAUCUUAUUCCUUGAUCCUUACUGGUUUUCUCUAAUGAUCAUUUUCAACAUACUAAAUAUGUUGACACACUCUGGCCAGAGAAUUCUAUGAUCAAGUGCCGAAAACCCAUCAAGAGAUGUGUUGUACAAAUUCUAUAUUGUUAAUCCAUAACUCCAAUACUCAUAAUUGCUCCCACCAAGAUACCGGGUAAUCUUGACCACAAGGAUGUGUCGUGCCCAUUGGUAACUCAAAUGGAAUAAAAAUUACAAUCAUGAAAUCAUAAUUAACUCAAGAUUAAGAUUACAGUAAAAUCAACGCCUAUGAGAUUUAAUAAGUCUGACAGUUAUUACAAAGUUAAUUAAAUCUCAUAUGUGAUCAUGUUCAAUGUAGUCGUACUACAUCAAUAAAUUCAUACAUGAUUAAGACAAAUCAUUCAAUGAAUUUAUUACAGUCUAUACCUAAAUAAAGUGCCCAACUUUAUUUAUCAACUGCGAACUAAAUUUAUUUAAUCAUAAGAUAACUUGUAUUUAUGUCUUCUGUGAAUCCACAUGGUGAUCACAUAAAUACAUACAAUAUGAUUAAAUGGACUUUAAUACAAAUAUUAAUGCAAUUAAGAUAUUUGAAUAAAAUACCUCAUCUAUUUUAUUAAUCAGAAAAAUUGUUUAUUACAAUUAAAUAAACACAUAUGCUUUUAAAGAGCAUAUUUUCCCAACAACAACUGCAUCUACGGACUCGUUGAUGUCGGGCCAGUAGUAGGUCCAUGCCACUAUUACUCCAUUAGGUUUUUUGAGUACCCAUUUUACUUGUUUGUAAAAUUGAGGCAAGUCAAACCAAUGUAGUGAUGUAGCAAUUGUCACUAGAUCUACACUUGAUUGUGUUGCCACAUUUUGUUCAAGCUCAGUUAUGGACAUGGUUGGAGGAGUAAGUUGAUACCGAAUGUUGGGGAGCUUUAUUGCGAAUUCUAGCUGCUUUGGGCUUGUGUCUGUAGCAAUGACAUUCUUGUAGAUUGGUGCAAGCUGAAGACAUAUAAUUGAGAAAAAAUAUAAAAUAUAGGAGGCUAUAACAAAAGUACACAAAAUUGAGAAGGCCAUAUAUAAAAAUUACAUAGACAUGGUGAAAUUUCAACCCAUACUCAGUUUUUUUGUUUUUUUUGUUUUCAUCCUCAAGGUUGCCGGGAUACUCUAGUUCCCCCCUUGGUAGUUGGAUAAGAUUUUUCUGUACUCGUCUCACGACUAAAUUUCCAGAUAAUGUGGAUAUUGAUUUGUAGAUAAUACAUACAUAAUUAAUCAAUGAAAAUAAUAGGGAUUUAACUAGGGAUUGGCAAUGGGAGGAGAUCGACAUUUCUGUAUCUAUUUCUGAUACUCUACUUGUAUCCUUGUACUCUCCCCGUCCUUUUUAAAAUUGCUUGAGGAUAGGGAUGGGGAUCUCCAAAGACACCCGAUCCCGAACAACUGAUUUUUGAACUUGAUUUAAUCAUAUUAAAGUAAAAAAAUAAAUCAUUUAACAACAUAAACACAUCAAAACAAAGUAAAAUCAUUAAAAUCAUUUUCAUCAAACUAAUUAAGUUAAUGUCAUCAAAAUUACAAGAUAAUCUAUGAAAUUAAGUAAAAAUAGAACUUCAGGGUUGAACACAUACAUUAAAGUCACAUGGUAUAAAUCAUUAAGAAAAUUAUCUUCAUCAAUCUUCAAGUGUUCAUAUCUAUUAUGAUAUUUUUUUUAUUUAUAUCCAUACCAUCACAAUUUAAAUUUUAAAUAUAAUUACUAAAAAUUUUGACAGAAAUAAAAUAAAAUAAAAAUUAAAAAUAAAAAUUAAAAAUGGGGAAACGAGAGAGACGAGGAAUUCACUGAAUCCCCAUCUUCUCCCUAUAUAAGAUAUUGAGUGUUAAGUUAUCUCUGUUCGUUCCCCGAAUUUUAAUUAAGAUAUAAAAUUGUUCCCACACCCUACACAAAUGGGAAAAAUCCUUCAAGACUCGUCCCAUGAGAAUUUCUGCUAUCCCUGAAUUUAACAGUUAUAUAAUUCAACUUUCUUAUAGCUUGGGAUCAGAAUUCUGAAAUAUUAAUAUGGAACUUUUGUAUUAUUCAAAAAUAAAAUCUAAAGAUGUGAAAAGUAAACUUACGGAUGCAGCGGCCUGCCCGCUUCCGGUGCCGACGUCCCAUGCAAGCUCGUUUUUGGGUGUUUUAGAGGCAAUGAAUUUGAACAAUUCUUCUGGAUAAUUUGGUCGUGCUUCCGCGUAUUGCUUUGCCUGCUUAACGAACAUAUCUGCCAUCUUUUCUGUUUUUUUCUAAAUAAGUGUUGACAAUAGAAUUGAGAUAAAUCUACUGAUCACUUGUUUCGUUUCUUCUUUAUAUAGGUUUUAGAAUUUGAUGUAGUAGACGAACAGACAAAUUUUAGUUAGAAAUUAAUUUGGUAUGGUUUAUCUGGGGAAGCCCAGAACGAGGACAAGCUCAUAAAGCGUUAAAUUUUGACCGAACUUUUCAUUCUUCCUUUAAUUUUCAAAGAUUCCCUUUUCUUCGCAAAGAUGAUGGUAUGGACUUCAUCAAUGAGCCCACAUCAACUCUACUUAGAGAAUUUUUUUUGGGAUAAUUUUGUCAUUAAUUUAAGCUGUUAAAGGUAUCUAUAGAAGUAUUGAACUACUACUUUGCUCUCUUAUGGGGUUAAGAUGGCGGAGUUUAAAGGCAGAUUCACCUCCUGACCAUUAGGAGUUCAAGCUUCCAAUGGAGAAAAUAAUUUAAAAAAAAGUAAUGAGAUAAUUGUUUGAAUUAUUAAUUAGAACCAUUAAAUUUAUUAAAAUAAUUGUGUUAAAUUUAUAAAAAUAGGUCCAUAAAUUCAUAAACCUAUAAAAUUUAAAUUUUGACUUUGAAACAUAUAAAAGCUCAUACUUUAAUUAAAAAAAUAAAUGUUUACAGUAGUCAAAUUUAUUAUUAUUUAAUUUAGCCCUAUUAAAUUUACUAAAGUACCUCCACAAACUCAUUAAUCUAUAAAAUUUUAGUAUUGAUUACAUUUUGUUAUUAUGUAAUUCAAUCCUCUGAAUUCGCUACUAUUUAGAAUUGGCUCUCUAUUAUUACUCGAUCUAGUCCAAGUUCAAUCAAAGUUGGCUCUCUAUUAUUACUCGUUCUAGUCCAAGUUCAAUCAAAGUUGGCUGUCUAUCAUUGACAGUUCUCGUUCAGGUUCAAUGAAAGAGAUCAAAGCAGAGUUUGUUUGCGAUUCAGUUUGUGUAAAUGCAUGUAGGUCCAGGUUGUCUUAUUUUGUGGUUCACUGGUGUAAAGAAUUUAAAAAGUAAUUGGAUAAGAGGAUGCGUCUUGGAUGAUGAAAUGAAGCAAUGACACAUCUUCAUGUGCAGUUUUUACGACGUGCACUCGGUAUGAUUAUGAAUAAUGAUAUAUGCAUAGAAAAUAAUACAAAAUUUAAUAAAAAUUAUAUAAAAAUAAAAAAUUAUUAUCCCGUGGUGUAUUUUUUAUCCUGUAAUUAAUUUUGUUUGUCUUUUAAUAUUGUGUGCUUUUAUAUUAUUUUUUGACACGUGUCAUUCAUUGUUUCACUACUAUUACCAUGCUCCUAAAAACCUUACUUUUUUUUUUUUCGGAAGAUGCCGCAUUUGCUUGAUUUCAACAUUGGCAUGCUCGUCCUUCUUACGCUUUUGUCUUUCUAUAAUCAUCAUAUUCAAUGGCAAAAUUUCAACAAGAUAGAGCAACAUUCAACAAAGAUAAGUCUUCUUAUUGGAUUAGGUAUAGAUUUUUAAUUAAUUCGUAAUGGAAAUUGGUGGCUAUCCACUAUCAGCUUAGACCAAUUUAACUAGCUAUAGUUAAUUAGCUAAGUUAUUUGGGUGAGCAAAGUCAGCUAGUAGUAAAGCUCGGAAAAUCACCUAAUUAAAAUUGAAACAGGACCAUCAAAUACACACAGUUUGCUUUGAUUGGCCAUUCAACAAAACAUCUGAAGAGAUUGGAUGGCUAAAGAGCUAAUUAUGUCAAUCAAGCGUGGGUGUUCUGAUCAUGACGUGCCCUAAGGCUUGGCUUCGUUUUGAUUGGCUAAUGGAUCCUAUGAAUAGAGAGCACUGCUCUUCGUGAUUUGUAUCCUAAAUUGAAACCUUAUUACAAAAAUAUCACCUUCCUUUGUAUCAUGUAUUUAUUAAUUUAUACUUUCUACAUAUAUGUUGUCAAUUAUUAUAACACGUUAUUAGUUAGCAUGGCAAUCAUUUUGGUACAGGAAGUAUCUUAUCCCCUGCUCUUUUAUUUUAUCUAUUUAAUUAAUAAAGCUAUCUUUAUAAAUAUACUCUAAAGUUGUCAUUAAUUUGGAUCUUCCACAUAAAAAAAUAUGACUAGCUAUUGUAUUUCUUCUUAUUUAUUUUAUUUAUUUUUAAUUUUUUUAUAAUAGAGGGACUCUACAAUGAGCUAAGGUAAAACAUAUCGGGAGUAAGCAAUCCCAUACAAAUCAUUUGCAAUAAAACUAACAACCCCCGGAGGAGGAAUAGAAAAAAGAUGCAAUCCCAAGGGCAGCUCCAAGGCAUAAUUUGCUAAGAAGUCCGCUGCGAAAUUUGCUUCACGAUAUAUGUGGUUGAUGGUUAUAACCCAAUUCCGCUUGAUGAGAUCUCUAAUGGAGUGGAUGAGGUGGGUAUACUCGUUGAUGCUCUCCGUGUGGCUGUUAACCAUCUGAACAACAUAGUAGCUAUCCACUUCCACGUGUAAAAACCGAACACCAUGUUGCCAUGCUAAAAUUAACCCUCGGCAAAAGCCCAAAGUUCUGCUGCAAUAACUGAACAGACGCCUAUGUUGAAGCCAAAGCUAGUGAGCCACAUGCCUUGGUGGUUGUGUAUGAGACCUCCAGCACUUGAUGCCCCCAACUCUUUUCUUGCUCCGUUUGUGUUUAGCUUGCACCAGGGCCAUUUAGGUAACUUCCAGGUGAUCCAUCUCUCAAUUUUCCUGGUCUCAACAACCAAAGAUGAGUUGUUGAUGUUCUGAAUCUCCUCAACUCUAGCUUUAAUAUCUUGUAUUAUACUAAUACUGUCCAUAUUCCGUUGAUGGAAUAGGAAUUGACUCCCGCAGAACCACAAACGCCAAAUAGUAAGUCCAAAGAAAAUAUUUCAUUCAAUACUCGAGUCCAUUUGCCCUUUGCUUAGUAAAUUCUGACACAGCCAUUCUUUUAGAUCAGUCCUGAAAAACCAAGGACAAAAGCUCCCAGGAAUUAAGCGAUUUCAAAACGUUUUCGCGACCACACAGUCUCAAAUCACAUGUAUGGUAUUCUCAAGAGUUGAGCCACAUCGAUCACACCAACCGUCCACCAGCAAAUGACGCCUUGACAAUUCAAACCUUGUUUUUAGUGUAUCAUGCAACACCAACUAGAUGAAAAAACAAAUGCUCUGGGGGCCUUGCCAACUCCAUGCAAGACUCCAUAGCUUCUCCUCGUCACUUAAAAUGGUCUUUGAUAGAGCAUGGUAAGUUGACUUCACAAUAAAACACCCCUUUGCUGAUUCAGCCCAGAAAACUUGGUCUGCACCAUCAUCUGCCAAAGGAGGCUUGUAGGAAGCAAUCCUCAAAAGAAUAUUAUGUGGUAAUAAGAAACUAAAACUCUCCCAUAGCCAAUUUCCAGCAUUGUCAACAAAGUCCAUUGCUUUCCUAUUUACUAAAUGGUCCGGAACUGGAGCAAUCUCAUAAUUAAUCCGGGGUUGAUUUUUAGUUACCCAACAAUCCCACCAAAAACGAACCGUUUUACCAUUCCCAACAUUCCACCGAAUCCCCCUCUUCACAGCAUGCCAAAUUUUCCCAGAGUAAGAACCAUAUCUGGUUGGCAACUCAUAUGGUAAAAUUUUCGGGUUCACUCCAUAUUUCAUAAGCAACACUUGUGACCACAGACUUUUUGGAUUGACAGCAAGGUUUCAGCCCACUUUCAUCAACAAAGCUUGAUUCAUUACGUCCAUGUUCUUAAAACCCAAGCCACCACAACUUUUUGGACGACAAAUCAUCCCCCAACUAACAAGGCUCAUCUUCCUUUGAUUAUUAGCAUCGCUCCACAUAAAUUUCCUGCAAGCUUGUUCAAUUUUACUUUUAACACUAGCCGGCAAAUUCGUAGUUUGCAUUGCAUAGAUCGGAAUAGUCUUCAGCACUGACUGGACAAGAGUUGCUCUUUCUGCUAAAGAUAAAUGAUUGGCAUUCCACCAGAGAGGCGUUGCUCAACCUUGUCAAUAAUGCUCUGAUAAGCCCGCUUUGAGACUCUAGAAUGUAGGAGAGGCAUUCCUAGAUAAGUUCCCAGAUCUUUUAUUACUGAAAACCCAAGCAGUUCACCUAUCUGUUUAGCCUCAUUUGCUUUAACAUUCUUGGAGAAAAAAAUUUAAGUUUUAUCCUUGCUGACCUUGGCACCUGAGCUUGCAUAGAAAGCAUCAAGGAAAGACCAAAUAAAUCUAGCUUGAUCACAAGUUGCCUCAGCAAGUAGGAGAAGAUCAUCACAAAAAAAAAAGAUGGGUGAUAGGGGUCCCAUUUCGAACCAGUCACAUUGGUCUCUGAUCUCCCAUAUUUACAGCAUGAGCAAUGCCAUGGCUGAGUCUCUCAAUGCACAAAACAAAUAUAUAUGGGGAAAUAGGAUUCCCCUACCUAAUUCCUCUAGAUGGCACAAAAUUCUUGGUUAUCUCCCCCUCCCAUAAAACAUUCAUCUGAACUUGAGUAAUACAAUCCAUGAUUAGUUGAACCAAGUCAGAAGGAAUUACAACCUCUAGGAGCGUGUCAUGGAUGAAACUCCAAGUGAGCUUGUCAUAGGCCUUUUCAAGUCCACUUUAAUUGUCAUUUGCCCCCUCCUACCAAUUUUUCACCGCAUGGAGUGAAUCACCUCCUGAGCAAUAACAAUAUUCUCUGUUAUAUGACGCCCUGGGACAAAACUUGUUUGUUGAGGACCAACAAAAUGAGGUAGGAUCGUUUUUAGCUUGUUGGCAAUCAUCUUGGUGAUUGUCUUAUAAACUAAUGUACAUAAGCUAAUGGGGCGAUACAUUUUUGAAGUCUGAUGAUGAUCAUUCUUAGGAAUCAGAACUAAUAGUGUCCUAUUAAUCUCUGGGGGAACUUUGCCUUGACUGAAGAUGCUCUUAAUAAAAUGACAAAAGGAAGGCCCAACCACCCCCCACUGAGACUAGUAAAAAAUGGCAUGCAAACCAUCAAUCCUUAAGGCUUUUAAGGGCUUCAUACUAAAAAUAGUGCUUUUAAUCUCAGCUUCAUCUAAAGGCCCUUGUAAAAAAGACAAACUUUCUGCAUCUAUCACUGGAAAACAGCCCCGAAUAUGGUAUUGCUGAGACGGGAUGUUAUCCUCAAAGUAUAACUUGGAAAAAAAAAUGUACAAUAUGGCAUUUGAUAGCUUCAACUUCAUACAACUAUUUCCCAUUCUCAUCUUUAAUAGCCAUGAUCUUGUUUCUCCUUCUUCUAGUCAGUGUCUUCUGGUGAAAGAAAGCUGUCUUUCUAUCGCCGUGCAUAAUCCAAUCUUUUCUAAACUUUUGCUUCCAAAUAGCUCUUCUUGAGUAAGAACUACUUCAAGUUCUCUUUUCAAUUUUAAUUCAAGCCAAAUGAGACCCUUUGUAGUAUAGUCCUUAAGAGCUUUUUUAAUACCACCAAUGUGAGCCAUAGGUCUUCUUUACCUUUAGAAGAUAUUACCAAAAGAAUUUAUGUUCCAGUGUGAGACAUUGCGAGUGAAAGAAAAGGCCGAUUGGAGGUAGGGUUCUAUAGGAUUCCAAUUCGAAGCAACAAAAUUAUCAAAAUCUUUGUGUGUGAGCAAAGCCGCCAAGAAUCAAAAUGGUCUCUGCCCCUGACCUCGUCGCUCUUCUUUAUCAAAACGAACUGAUACCGGUCUAUGGUCUGACUGAAUUUUCGGUAAAUGAAGCACAAAGCUAUUUACAAAUUUAUUCAGUCAAUCCUCAUUGCACAUUGCCCUAUCUAGCCGUUUGAAGAGAGCCCUACGAGACCAAGUGAAUCUAGGACCCGUAAACUGAAGGUCAUAUAAAUGUUGGGUGCAAGCGGAAGUGCAGAAAAUUUUUUAUUUAAGAACAGAGUAUUUUGCUGGAAAUUUCUGAAACUUUAUUGCUUAAUUCAUUUUUUCGUUUCUCUCUUACUUUUCAUACAACCAGAGUUCUAUAUUUAUAUGCAUUAUAGACAACUCUAGAGAUUACAUUAAUCAUGCUUUACAUUUCCAAAGCUACAUUGCAAACAUCAAUUCUACCCUUUACUUCAUGUUGAAAAACAAACCAAAUAACCCUUCAAACUUCUUGCUCAAUUUACUAGAUUACUAAUUAUAUCUCAACACCCCCUCUUAAUUAGUAAUCUUCAAUUGCUUCUUGAAUUUUUCAAACUUCUCAAUGUUGAUUGCUUUGGUCAGAAAAUCUGCUGGCUGCUCAUUAGUGCUGAUAAACUCCAUAUUAACUUCUCCUUUGCUUACUAAGUCACGGAUGUAGUGAUAACGCAGCUCAAUGUGCUUAGAUUUAGCAUGAAAUACGGGGUUUUUUGUUAGAGCAAUGGCUGACAUGUUGUCACAAUAAAUUAUUGUUGCAGCAUCUUGAUUGAACUGCAAAUCCUUGAGAAUUCUUCUAAGCCAAACGGCUUCACAAGCUGAUUCAGUUGCUGCAAUGUACUCUGCCUCCGCUGAGGAUAAAGCUACUGACUUCUGCUUCCUUGAGCUCCAUGAAAUCACAUUUGUACCAAGACAAAAUAAAUAACCUGAUGUGCUUUUUCUGUCAUCAAGGGAACCAGCCCAGUCACUGUCAGUAAAACCAACAAGCUUGCAAUUGUCUUCUUUUUCAUACAUGAUCCCCUGCUUUUUUGUUCCUUGAAGAUACCUUAAGAUUCUCUUUGCUGCAAUAUAAUGGGACUUCCUUGGAUCAUUCAUAAAUCUAGAAAGAACACUAACUGAGUGCAAAAUGUCAGGUCUUGAGUUGGUUAGAUAAAUCAAUGAACCAACCAAGCUUCUAUAGAUUCUUGCGUCAGCCUUUUCUUCUUUUUCAUCAUGUUUCAAUUUUUCAUUCAAACCCAUAGGAGUAGGUGCUGGUUUGCAUUUGAACAUGUGGAAUUUCUUCAACAAAUCUUCUACGUAUUUUUCUUGACAAAAGAAGAUUUUUCCUCUGGCUUGCUUCACUUGAAUGCCAAGAAAAUACUUCAUUAAGCCCAAGUCAGUCAUCUCAAAUUCAUCUAGCAUGCUUUUUUUAAACUCUUCCACCAUUUUCAAAUUAGCGCCACAAUAAAUUAGAUCAUCAACAUAAAGGCAAACAAUAAGGAAAUCAGUACCUUCCUUUUUGACAUAAAGAGAAGGUUCACUUGAGCUUCUGUCAAAUCCAUUUUUAACAAAAUAUCUAUCAAUUCUACUAUUCCAUGCUCGAGGGGCUUGCUUCAAGCCAUACAAGGCUUUUCGGAGUCGAUAAACUUUGUUUUCUUCACCUUUUACUUCAUAUCCUUUAGGCUGCUCAACAUAAACCUCUUCUUCAAUUUCACCAUUUAGAAAUGCCGAUUUACAUCUAGCUGAAACACAUUUAAUUCCAUUUGGGCUGCCAGGGCAAGAACAGUUCGAAUAGUCUCCAUUCGAGCUACGGGAGCAAACGUUUCUGUAAAAUCAACUCCAGGCAGCUGAGAGUAUCCUUUGGCAACGAGCCGCGCCUUAUAUUUUUGAAUUGAACCAUCUUCAUUGUACUUGAUUUUGAAGAUCCAUUUCAGCCCAAUUGUUUCUUUUCCAUUUGGAAAAUUAACCAUCUCCCAAGUUUUAUUUUUCACAAUGGUGGCCAUUUCCUCGUUCAUUGCUUUGAUCCAAUCUUCAUUUCUUGAGGCCUCCUCAAAGUCUUGAGGCUCACAAGAAAAUAAAGCAAGUUCACAUGACUCAUAAAUUUCUCUCAUUGACUUUAUCUUCCUUGGAGGGCUUUCAUCAUCCGAAGAACUUUCUGCUGCUGAAUUUGGAGAAUUUGGUUCCAAAUUAUUUUGCUGUGAAGAAUUUGGUGGAGAUACAGGAGCUUCAAAAAAGCUAGAUGCCUGAGAUUGAUUGUUUUCCCACUGCCAAGCUGAUGCCUCAUCAAAUACAACAUCUCUUGAGAUAACAAGCUUAUUUGUUGUAGGAUUCAACAACCGAUACCCUUUAGACUCAUCACUAUAGCCAAUAAACAAAUAUUUUUCUCCUUUUCCAUCAAACUUCUCCCUGUUUUGAGCUGGAAUAAGAGCAUAAGCAAUACUCCCAAAAAUCUUCAAGUGAUCAACAGUUGGCUUUCGGUUGUGCCAAGCUUCAAAUGGAGUUUUGUCUCUAACAGCUUUUGUAGGAGACCUGUUGAGGAUGUACAUAGCUGUAUGACAUGCUUCUGCCCAUAAGUUGUUAGGAAUGCCUUUGCCUUUUAACAUGCUUCUUGCCAUCUCUACAAUGGUACGGUUCUUUCGUUCUGCGACUCCGUUUUGUUGCGGACUUCGGCUGACAGUAAGUUGUCUUUGAAUUCCAUUAUCCCUGCAAUAAUUCAUGAAUGGAGUGUAGAUAAAUUCACCACCACGAUCAGUUCUCAAGGUCUUCAUUUUGCAUCCACUUUGCCUUUCUGCAAGAGCUUUAAACUGAAGAAAAGUUGAGAAAGCUUCUGAUUUUUCAUUCAAAAAAUAAAUCCACAUCAUCCUUGUAUAGUCAUCAACAAAAAGAAUGAAAUAUCUCCUGUUAUUGAGAGAGAGAGUCCUUGUAGGACCACAAAUAUCAGCAUGCACCAACUCCAACGGAGCUUUGGCUCUCCAUGAAUUUUUAGGAAAUGGAAGUCUAUGCAUUUUUCCAUAUAUACAGCCCUCGCAAACUUUUUCAUAUCUUCCAACAUCAGGUAAGCCAAUCACCAUGUUCUUUUGCUUGAGCAAAUUCAGCCCUUUAUAGUUUAAAUGGCCAUAUCUAAGAUGUCAUAAAUUUGACAAAUCUGAAUUUUCAGUUUUGAGAGCAACAUUCUCAUCAAGUGGCAUAACAAGAGGAAAAACUUUGUUCUUUGACAUUUCAACAACGGCCACUGUGUGAUUAUUAGUUUUAUCAAUAAUUUUGCAUUUUUCAUCAUCAAAAUAAAUUGAAAAACCCUUUUGAAUUAGCUGCCCCACACUCAAGAGGUUUUGAGUUAAAUUUGGAACAUAAAGAACGUCAGAAAUGAGCUUUUUGUUACCUCCCUUUGUAUGGACAGCAAUAGUGCCUUUUCCCACAGCUUUCUGCAUCUUUCCAUCUCCAAGCUUCACUUGCGAAUUAAAACUUUGGUCAAGGCUGAUGAAAAUUUCACGUUCUCCAGUCAUGUGGUUGCUGCAGCCGCUAUCCAAGUACCACAAAUUAUAUGAUUCAUGUUCAGCACCUUUACUUGAAUAAAACAAGUAAUCUCCAUCACAUUCUUUUGUAAAAUUUGCCUUAUUUUUGCCUUUCUUAUUUUGAUACCAGCAAUCCCUUUGAGAAUGGUUAGGAAUGCGACGCCUUGUGCAUUUAUAACGACAAUCUUUUGAUUCAUAAUUAGACCGAUUACAAAUGAUGCACUGAGAAUCUGAAUUUUGCUGUGAAUUCCCUCUGUCAUUUUUCCACUUGUUGCGGUUGUCGUUAUGUUCUCUUUGCCCUUUGCCACGCUGUCCGUUUCUUUGAGACGAGCCUCCAUUCUUCUGGUCUUUUUUGCUGCUUUUAUUCUGAUCUGAAAAGCUUGCUCUGUAGGCUGACUUGAAGGUCGAUUGAUUCUUUGCUCAUGAGACCGUAAUGAUCCUGACAAAUCUGAAAAAGUCAUCUUAGACAAAUCCCUUGAUUCUUCAAUGGCUGCUGCUACAUGAUCAAACUUUGGAGGAAGACAUCUCAGCACCUUUUCAUUCACCUUCUUGUCUUCAAUGGAGUCCCCGCAACCUUUAAUCUGGUUCACAAUCUCAGUAACUCUACUGCAAAAAUCUUGAACUCCUUCACUGUCUUUCAUUGAUAAAUUAUCGAACUCUUUCCACAAAGUCUGUAACUUGAUGGUGACUGCCUUUUCGGAACCUUGAAAUUCUUGUUUUAGGAUUUCCCAAGCAUUUUUGGCCUUUUUGACACCAAAUAUUCUGGGGAAAAUUGACUUACUAACACCUUGCUGGAUAUAUCGAAGUGUCGUGGCAUUUCUCUGUAUGUUUUCUUUGUACUGCUGUUGAUGUGCUGGAGUCCAAUCUGAAGAACUUGCUGAUUCUGGUGGUUCAGCAUAUCCAUCUUCAACAACAUCCCAUAAAUUCUGAGAGAGGAAAAAGGUUUCCAUUUGAUUACUCCAAUAUUCAUAAUGUACCCCUUCAAAUAUUGGAACUUGACUGGGAGCAUAUGAAAAUAAUGUGGGUAGGGUAUUUGAUGUCAUUUUGAGGGUGUUUUGGAAAAGCUCUGAUACCAAAUUUGUUGGGUGCAAGCGGAAGUGCAGAAAAUUUUUUAUUUAAGAACAGAGUAUUUUGCUGGAAAUUUCUGAAACUUUAUUGCUUAAUUCAUUUUUUCGUUUCUCUCUUACUUUGCAUACAACCAGAGUUCUAUAUUUAUAAGCAUUAUAGACAACUCUAGAGAUUACAUUAAUCAUGCUUUACAUUUCCAAAGCUACAUUGCAAACAUCAAUUCUACCCUUUACUUCAUGUUGAAAAACAAACCAAAUAACCCUUCAAACUUCUUGCUCAAUUUACUAGAUUACUAAUUAUAUCUCAACAAUAAAUUGCUUGAUUGGAACUAGUUUAAAAAACUCCUACAAAUCCCACUUCUAUGUAAGGAGCCACCUUUCUUUUUCGAAGUAUAAAGGAUAGCAUUGAAAUCACCAAUGAUGAGCUAAGGUCCGCGAGUGCUGUUGGCUAGUCUUCCACGAUAGUCCCAAAGGUUUUGUCUAUUAGUUUGAACAGGGCUUGCAUAAACAGCAGUCACCCAUGACAAAAAGCCACCAUUGUUAAACAUUCGAAAAUGAAUGAAUUGCUUGUGAUUUAAAGACACUUCGACCUCCAAGAAGUCUCUCCACAAAAGCCAGAUUCCCCUAGAGAAACAAAUUGCUCCCACCAUGUGGGACUUGACAAAACCACUUUUCUUGAUGAAACCAUCCGCUCUUAUCCCACUAAUUCUCAGUUCCAUAGAACAACCAUGGCCGAUUAUAAGUCUUUGUCAGAGACACAAAAGCACUGUGAAAUUUUAGUGAGCCAGCCCCUUGGGCAUUCUAAAACAUUAUAGAAAUAAGCAUUAAAAAAAAUAGAUAAAGAUAAAAGGGAGAGAUAGGGAGCCUUACUCAACCAAGGUCUCAUAACCCAACUCCAUAUCCUUCUCAUCUUCUAGAGAAAUAUCAUCCUCUGAAGAAUCAAUACCCUUACCACUGUCUCCCAUAUAGUCACUGUCAUCCUCAUCAUAAUCUAAAGUCAUUGUUCCUACCAUAAUCAAGAGGUUCAUCUUGGGCUUUGGCAAGCUGACCGUUAUCACCACCCACAAAGAAUCCAUGUUGAGGCUCAGCCAGGGUGGGGUUUGUGGAAUUUGUGGGACAAGCAUGUGUGCCCUUUUGAUUUUAAAAAAAAAAUGGCGGUAUGGAAUAGGGGGUUUAAGCUAGUUGAUACGAAAAUAGGUUAUGGGUUCAUUGCAACAUGUGCAUGAGUUUUGCUUGAAUUACGUACACUUUGCGUGGUUUUUGUGUUGGUGGACUAGAACAUGUAUGUCACUUAAAUACGAUCCCUCACGUGACAAUAACUCUGGGCUGGAACAAGUUUGUUUUGGUGUAAAAGUAUAAACUAUAAUAUUUAUUAUAUUUUGAGAUAAAUUAUAUAAUUUAUUUGUUAUCAAUACAUUUUAGUCUUCAAUUUUCAUUCUAAAAAAUUAUUACUUUUUUAUUGCUGAGUUUUAGAAUUCAUGACGGAUCUAGGGCAUAUUUAGAUUUUUUUUUUUCAAAUUUGGAGCAGAUAUAGUUUUUUUUUUUUUUGAUCUAGAUAUAAAGCGAAAAAUAUGGAUUCAUGACGGAUUUGGAACAGAUACGAAUCUUGAUUUUUAUUAUGGAUCUAGAUCUGAAGCAGAGUACAUCCAACCCAUAUCUGUCCCAUUGCCAUCCCUAGUUUUAUCGUUUUCGAAGCUUGCUUCUUUUGUUUUGUUUCAACUCUAAGGUUAUACUUGGCUGGCCCUUGUUUGUUUGAGCUCGGAUUAGUAGGUUCUAUGUUUGUGGCAUUAUUGGAAUCUCCUUCCUCAAAGUUCGCUAACACUGCAAAACGAGAAUCCUUUCCAUAAUUGCUCCGUUGACCUUGCCGACCUUGCCCCGAAUCCUGCUGAAAUUCAUUUCCUUCUGCAAGCGAUCCUUACCCUUUCUGGUGACCACCAUCGAAGGGCCAAAUUUAGGAUAACCACCGGGAGCUAAAGCAUCACCCUUUUCUGCCAUCGCAUCCACCCUGUCACUAGGGAUGGCAAUGGGGAGGGGAGGGGAGGGGACCAAUCUCCCCGUACCCAUCCCCGAUAUUUUGCAUAUGUCCCCGUCCCCUCUCCAUCCCCGUAAAUUUUUUUUAAGAGAAUCUUCAUCCCCUCCCCGAAUAAUAAUAGGGGAUCCCCGAUCCCCGAAUAACUAAUACAUUUUUUUUGUUUUCGAUUUUGACUUAAUCAUAUUAAAAUAAAAAAUUCAAAUAAAAGUAAAGUUCGAAAUAUAUCUUACAUUAAUAUCCAUUACAAAAGUCACAUACAUUAAAUUAGUAAGUAACGCAGCAUGCAAGGGAUACAAAUUAUCAUGAACAAAUUAAUAGCCUAAUACAAAAUUGUUACAAAUAAAAUCAAAUUUAGAUUCAAAAUUAAAUGUGGACUAUUUCCUUUACAGCACAGUAGUUAAGUCGAAGCAAAUCAAGAGCAAAUAUUAGAUUAGAUUAGAUAUUAAAAUUAUGAUUUGCUGUGGGCAAUUAUAACAUCUAAAAAUAAAUAAAAAAUAGAUUUAAGAUAAAUAAAAAAUAGAUUUAAGUUUAAAAUAUUUAAUGAAUAUUAAAAUUAAAACAAAAGUUUUGGGCUAAUAAAAUCUGUCUGGUCUUUUUAAUGUCCUAAAUAAAAAUUUAGGACUUUAAUUAGUUAAUUAGGCCUAAAAGUUUAAUAAUAUAAAUAUUUUGAUAUUUUUUAUUUUUACCAAUACUUAUAAUUUUAUAAUUCAAAUUUUAUUAUUUAUUUACUAGUAAUUUUAAAAAAAUAAAAAUUAAAAUGGGGAAAUGGGUAGGGGAUGGGGAUUUCACCUCAUCCCCAUCCCCUCCCCGAAUAAGAAAUUGGGUAAAAAAAUUUUCCCGUCCCUUCCCCGAAUAAGAAAUUGGGUAUGAAGUUAUCCCCAUACACUCCCCAAAUGGAGAAAAUCCCCGAGGGUACCCGUCCCCAUGGGGAUUUUUGCCAUCCCUACCUGUCACCGCUAAUAUCAUGAUCCAAAUCUUCCGUUGCGCGGUCAGGACAUAGCUCACUGGUAUGCCCAUAUUUUCCACAAGUGAAACAUAUAUGGAGAAGACAUUUAUACACUUUUUGAACUUUGCCAUCUAGUACGAAUUGAGAUACAAUAGGCUUGUUAAGUGCUAUAACAACCGCAAUACAUGCAAACUUACCCCCCACGGUUGAUUCAGUAUUGUAGUCUAUUCGAACGACUGUUCCAAUAAUCUAACCAAGCAUCCGAAGGAUUCUUUUGUGGUAGUAACACAUAGUGGCGGACCUACAGCUGGGCUAGACCGGGCUAGUCUAGAAAAUAUCAUUUAAACCCCUUGUCUUUAGAUUAAUUCUAUAUAAGAAUAGAGUUUUUACUUUAUUUUUAUAUAAGUCCUUAAUUCAGUUGCUUUUAUGUUUUCAUCAAAUUUCAUAAAACAAUAGAGUUUUUACUUUAUUUUUAAAUAUAUCCCUAAUUCAAUUAUAUUUUUCUAUUAGUGGCUUAUUUUAUAAAAUGAUUAAAUUAUAUACUUAUUGAAUAGAUUGAAAACAUUAGGGGUCUAAAAUGUUAUUACUACUUUAAUUUGUUUUUAAAAUUUUAAUUUAAAAAAGUAUGUCAAUGUAAUAUAACAUUGUCACUAGUAUUAAAAAUAGUAAAAAGAUAUAUAAUAAAAAUUAUUAACAAUUUCAUAAAAUUUUUAUGUGAAUAUUGAGAUUUUAUUUAUUAGUUACAUUAACUAAGAGGAUAAGUUAGAAAAUAAAAUUUGAGUAUUUUGAUAUGAUUUUUUAAAGUGAGUCAGAGUGUCUGGCAAAGAAAUAAUUACGCACAAAUACCUUUUUACUAGGUUAGAGUUUAGUUUAUUAUUGAAACUCUUGACAACUAAUAUUUUUAUAAUUUAAAAAGAUGAAUAAAUUUUAAUUGUUUAAUUUAUUUAAGCUUGGUAAUUAAGUACUUUUCAAACAUAAAGUUCUAUUUGCAAUAUUUUAAUUGAUUAUAAUUACAUGUAUUGAUUUAUUCAAACUUGAAAUUCUUAAUUGAUUUAUUAAUUCUUAUAUAAUUAGAUGUUACUAUAUGUUGCAAUGUUAGAUUCCAUAAUUAAAAAAUAGUAUUUUUAUAUUUGAAUUAUCUUUUGUUUUCUAGUCUUUUUGUAUACUUAUUUUUAUUUAAAGUACAUAUUUAUAGGGUUUUUUGUAUCCCCCUUAUUUGAUGUACUUUUUUUACUUAUAAAUGUUUAUGUUCACUCCAAAAUAUAAAAUUUUUAAUUUAGUCCGGGGUAAUAUAAAGUUCUGGGUCCACCCCUGGUAACACAGGGCUAUACCAGGAUGCCUGAUCCAUGCAAUAAUUGUAUUAAUUGACUCUGUAAAACUAUCAAAGUGAGGAGUCCAUGGCUGCAUGACUAGGUAGUGACCCAUGAUUGUCCAUGGUCCUUGAGUCAAAGCAAAAUCCGCAUCACCCUUUGAACGAAAUCGAACGAGGUAGUAACCGUUAUCCAAAUCAAUGACCGAGAAACCUAAAGCCGGCCUUUAAAGAUUUUCCAAUGUAUUACAUAGGACCUUGUAGCCUAUGUGAUGUCCUAGCAAUUUAACUAUCACUGAAUUCUGCCAAGGUUUUACGAGUUGCUCAUGGAUUAUUUUUGAGAAAGAGAUAGAUGGUAUGUUGCCACCAUCCCCUACAAUGAUAUCCUCUGAUCCAAAGACUAGAUCAUCCUCCCCACCAAUCAUCUCCUCUUCAUUCAUCUUCUCUGACUCCAUUAACUUAUCUCUAAAUGAAACGUGCUCAGGGUUGUCACUAUCGUCGCCUUGGGCUCUAAACUUGGCCUUCUUCGUAGCAUGGCCAUCAUUGAUUGGAAGGGUUAGGUCCUUCUCCAUCUCUCUACUUAUAGUAUCUUUCUAGCGUAUUUUGAGUUGUAAAAGGUUUAUUAUUUAUUUUAUAUUACUAAAGUUAAAAGCAAGGACCAAAUUGUACAAGACAAAAGCAGAAGUCAAGACCAAAGUGUACAAAACCAAGAUUGAAGCAUAAAAAAUUAUAAUUGGAUCCUUAAAGUAUCAAGACUGAAGCCUACUAAUUUGAAGCCACAUAUUUGAAUAUUCUAAAACCCCAGAAGAUAAAUUGAAGAUGACAAAUCCACUAAAGCAUGAAUUUGAAGCCUACAGUAUUUUUGGUAAAAAUUAUUUAUCUUGAAUUCUACCUCAGCAAUUAGAAGCCAUAUGUCUCAAUAAGUCACCUGGAAGCUAUGAGACUCAGUAACAUAAUCUAGCUCAUCUAACUGAAAGGAAGUCAUUGCUUGAAUUGAUAUGAAGUCUUAAUUGAAGACAAAAUUCCUCACUCAAUUAAAAUAAGUUUUAAUAGUAAUUUUUCAAAUUAACCCAUCAUCACAACUCUAGGCUUUACAAAAUGACAUCAUAAUUGAAGAUAUGUGGAAAGAAAAUUAUUGAUAAAGAAGACAUGCUCAACAUUUCAGGCUUUAAACAUGAUUUUGCAACAACAAUAUCAAGCUCGCUAACCUAAUAGGCACAAAACGCGCUAACCUUACAGGCACAAAGUUAGUUUUUGAAGAACAAUUUUAUCACAUAGACACAUGGUCAAAAUCAUUAUCAUGAUGAAGUUAUAGACAUGCUAAAAAUCGUGGUUACAAUUAUGAUUGAAGUCACAUUCCUGAAGAAAUCAAGCAUUGGCUGAUAUUAUGCAAAGACAAACUAGGUUGAUUGAGGGGAUGGCUCAAGGUGGUGGUCCUGCUCAGAAUGCUAGAGCCGGAGGGUAAGGUGCUGCUGCUAGAGGCAGAAUGGUGGCAACUUUAGAGCAAUUCCAAAAGUUGGGGCCACUUGUGUUUCGUGGGACAACUGACCCUAUGGCGGCUGUUGGUAUGAAUUCAAAUGUUAUUAGUGUCAAUGUGCAAGUAUACACAAUAAAUAAUAUAAUGAUGAGUAUUCGAGAUCGUCUCCACUGGGAUUGAUGUUAUCAGACUUGCUACAACAAUCUUAACAGCGUAGAUUUUAUUCUAAAUUAAGAUAAAACAAUUAAUGAAAUUAAUGAAACAAUUUUAUUCUAAAUUAAUAAAACAAUUAAGAUACAACAAUCAUGUCAAGCUCAAGGAUAAAACCGAUGGGAAUAUAGAGUAGUUAAGUGAAUAAACUCUCUUAAUGGUUUUGACUAUUUUUCUAAUGUUUGGCUCGGUUGCUACAACAUUUGCUACAGUACUGGGCAGCAUCCUUAUAUAUCCUCAGCAGUCGCAUGUUGGAUAUCUUAUAUCUAUAUGCAAUCUAAUAGUAAUUAGUUGUUAUGCCAACAUAAGAUAUAACAUUACACACUUAUGUUCUAUUUACCCUACAAGGUGAAUCCCUAUGUCUAGUUCAUCAUUAAUCUUAGAUUAAGCAUGGCCCUUUUGGGACUCAAGUAAAACUCAAUCUAGGAAACUCAAUCUAAAACCAAGUAUUGCUUUGAUAUGUUCCACUAAGAUAGGCUCUUUUGUGGCUCUUCCUUAGCUAAUAUCAUUAAAUGGGUGAUCAGCCGAAAUAAUGAAUAAAAAUAAAUACUAUCAAAACAAAAUGCUAAAGCAAACAUGCAGCAACUCAUUUUUUCAGUCAAUAAACCAUCAAGAUUGUUAAUCACUCAACUACAAAUAAAUUUAGUUCAUAAUUUGCAAAAGAAAAAUAAAAAACAAGGUUUCAGUCAUGAAACAUAUCCCAAUGAAUAAAAAGUAAACAAGAAAACAAGAGAAGAGUAAGAAAGACUGAGUUCCCGCUUGAUUUCUGCAAAUUCUCCUCUUCUACAACCCUCAAUCUUUCUCUUGAAUCAUGUUUUUCUUUUGUUUCUUUGUGAUUUUUCUCUUUGGGUGACGGCUCUCUCUAUUCAUUAUGAUGUGUGCUUCUUGUAUAGCUGAAAAUUAGGGUAAGCGGAAGCCUAGGGCGCACAUAAGUCAGACUAGAAAACUGCAUAUCGCAAUUCUGCAAGUAUCCCACGCAGAAUUCUCUCUGUCGUUGUUCUAGGAUUGCUACAGCAAUGGUUGCUAUGGCAACAGCUACAACAACUGCAUUGUUCCAGAUUUGUUUUAAUUCUUUUGUAGCCAAGUUCUUUUCUAUCUUUUGCAAGCCUAUUGCAUCAGCAUUCCUUCCUUGAAAUUUGGGCUUCCGGACACCUACAAUUAUGCAUAUGAUUUAGUACACAAAUUAUUCUAAAUCAAAUAAAAUUUAUUAUGAAUAAACUAAGAUGAAUGUUUAUGCAAAAUAUAACAAAAAUACAAUGGAAACACAUUAUUUACUCUCUAAGUAUUAUGGAUUUAAGUCUAAAAAUGCCAUGAUAACUCUUAUUUCAUAGAGUUAUCACACCCCCAAACUUAAACCAUUACUUGUCCUCAAGAAAUGACAACAACACUACACAAUCUUGCAAUAAUUAACUUAGCUCUAUCAUCAAAUUUGCAAGCAUUUUUCAACCCUCAGAUCACACUCUUAAUCACACAAAAUAGUCAUAGCAGUUCAGUUAUACACUUAGGCUUCAUUUUGUCCAAAAUGUGUGUGUGCCACUUUGAUCAAAUUCCAGAGGUGCUACAACAUUACAGAGACAUUGCAUAUAAUUCAAAGGUGGAACACAAAUAUAUUCACAUAUGAGGGAGCAUAAUUCACAAAUAAACUCAAAUUGUGCUACAACAAACAUAAUUAUUAUUUUUAGUUAAACCUUUCAAUGCAACAUUGAGCUUUCAUGUGAAUGCCUAUCACUUGUAAUGACGACACCCAAUUACUCACUCAAAGUACAUGUCAAAGUUGUUGCAGCAACACAUCCAGGAUGUCAUACCUAGGUCUUACCUUUGGCCGCCUUUGACUCAAGGCUGAACAUGAGGCUCAUGAAUAGACUAGGUUACUCAGUAUCCUAGGCAGCGGACCUCUUUAUUUUUCAUUCCUUCAUCACCAUUUUUUUUUUUUGUAAUUUUUUAUAUAUAAUUGUUGCAGCACUGCUAAUAGCUCUUAUUGCCUUUGGACUAAAGUCUACAUAUAGGGUGCAUACUCAACCCUGGUUACUCAGUAACUUAAACCAUUGGAGCAGAAUUUAUUUCAUAACAGGCACAGUCCAACAAAAAUUUUCCCCCAAACUUGAUAUAUUUUCUACUCUUUUUUGGUUUUCCUGGCUCUGCUAUAAUAUUCUCAUAAAACUCAACCAAAGUCUAAGUGUCAGGACAGAAUUCCAACCUCCAUCUAUAACUAUCUCUACUUGGCAUUCUCAUAAAUACUGAACAACAUUAAAUUUAUCUUCAUUAGGUUUUUAAAUCCAUACACAAAUAUUAGAUAAUAGAGCUUCACACAACACACAACACAAGCAUAAACACAUGCACUCAGAAACACAGCCCCCCCAAACUUGAGUGGUGUAGUGUCCUCACAAGCACACAAAACAAAACCACAUAAACCAGACAUGCAUACACUAAAUAAAAGAACAUGCAGAAUGAAUCAGAAAAUUAAAACUAAAUGAAAGAAAAAUUUGGCAAAAAGAAGUAAAAUAAACUAACGGGUAGGGGUACUCCCCUAUUGCUGGAAGCACUGCUACAACAUAGGCUGUAAAGGAUCACUUCUUCUUUGAUCCACUUCUCAAACGUUCUUUAUCAUAAAAUCUGAUCAAUCCAUUUGCUGCUGCAAAAGCAAGAAAUGCAUAUGUUAUUUGAGAAUCUUAUGUUAUAUGUCAUGCUGUAAGUGAUGCUGCAGCAAUUCCCUCAUGUUCUUUUUGUCCACAUUUGUUUUUACUUGCUGCAAUUUAACACAAAGACAAAAAAUUAGAUGCACACUUAAAAUAAUAAAAAGACAAAUUAAAUAAUUUAAAAACUAAAUUCAAUGCCUUAAAAACUUGAAACAACUUCCCUUAUUGGGUUCCCUCCCAAUUAGUGCUUGAUUUUAGAUUUUUCAGCCUGACAUUUCUUGUUUGCUCAACCUGGAUCCUUUAAAAAUCGAUCCUUCUAUAGGUUGUUAACAUCAGCUCCCAUAUAGUACUUCACUCUUGGCCCAUUAACCUUGAAUUCUUGUUGGUCUGGAGUGAGUUCCCUUUGUUAUAUUUGCUCGUCAAUUCUGAAGGGUUGCUUCUCCCCUAACCAUGUUAUGUUAGCUGCUCUACGAUCUUAAUCAUCAAGUUCUUCAAAUGUUACAACAUUGAUUUCUUUUUUACUGCAACAACUGUGUAAUCUCUCUGCUACAGCAAAAUCCACAACAUUGAUAAAAUUACAAUCUUCAAUCUCAUCGGGAUUCUUCAUGGCAUCUAGCACAUUGAAUGUAACAUGUUGGUCAUUCACUCUCAUGGUUAAUUCUCCUUUUUGAACAUCAAUGAGGGUCUUUCCCGUGUCUAAGAAAGGUCUUCCUAGAAUGAUUGACACUUCCUUGUCUACUUCAAAGUCUACCACAAUGAAAUCCACUGGAAAAAUAAAUUUAUCCACCUUCACCAACACAUCUUUAAUCUUCUCUUAUAGUUAAGCAUGAGAUAUGUCAGCAAGUUGUAGAGUCACCGUUGUUGGUCUAGAUUCACUAACUCCCAAUUGCUUAAACACUGAUAAAGACAUGAGAUUGAUGUUAACCCCCAUAUCACAAAGUGCUUUACCACUGUAUUUAGUGCCUAUAGAGCAUAGGAUAAUGAAGCUUCCUGGAUCCUUCAUCUUCUGUGGUAUCUUACUCUGAAGCAUUCGGCUGCACUCCUGUGUUAGAGCAACUGUUUCAAAUUCUCCAAGUCUUCUUUUCUUUAUCAAGAUAUCCUUAAAAAAUUUUACAUAGUUUAGCAUUUGCUCUAGAGCUUCUACAAAAGGGAUAUUGAUAUGUAGUUGUUUCAGCACUCCCAAGAUUUUUCUGAAUUGCCUGUCUUGUUGCUGCUUCAGAAACCUUUGAGGAAAGGGUGGUGGAUAUUUAAACUGUUAUGUUGCAGCAGGUUGUGCAAACUGCUUCUCUUUUGUUCUACUCGGGUCUAUUGCUAUUGGUGUUGUAGCUUCCUCACCACCAGAUGCUGGAUCAUAACUUUCUGCAGAUGCUGUAGCA